AACUUUUGAGUCAUACAUGUUAUUUAUGGGAAGAUGACUUGGAAAUUGAGAAGCGGACAGAAGCUAGAGAUGUAGUUCUGUCUGCUAGAUUAAGUUGGUUAAGGCCCGAUUCAUUGUCUUAACCUUUGAUCAAGUGAUAAGCAUCUUAUCACUUACUGGGUAUGGGACCAGUAAAGCCCAGUAGGUUAGUAAACUCUCUAAUCGGGAAUACUUCGUACCCGCGCUUGACGUGCUGGAGAUUGGCAGGGGUGUAGCCUGAAACUCACAUGGUGAUCGGGCCAGACGUGGGGUCCCAUGUGGGGGUGCGUCCCUGGGUCCGGGUAGUUUUAUUCCCAAUCAUUGAUUUUGCUAAUCGAAAGGUCGUUAUGUACGACCUGGACAGUCGUAUAAAACUGGUGAUCAGGGUACUCUCCUGCAGGAUGUAACAUGAUCCGGAUUGCCGCAAUUCUCAGUUAUGAAUGCACUUGAUCACUGUUGAGCAUCGUAGUAUAAAUUCAUGAAUGACAUACCUUUCAGAUAAUGAGUGAUGUAUGGCUUAAAUACCUUAUUGUUGUAUUUACUCUUUUCUCAUCAUCUAGAAUGGUUAGGUAAUAACUUAACCCAAAUAAAAGAUAAAACUAAGGCAUCACUUGUAGUAAGCAAUUCGGCAAAAAAAAUUGUAUUAGCCAAGUACACCAAAAAGCUAGCAUAUACUUCCAAAGAAAGCUAUUAUAUUGGUUAGUCGGGUAAGACUUGCUGAGUACCCCGUACUCAGGGUUAUCCCUUGUGGCUAUCUUUCAGAAGCACCGCAGGAGUGUACCGAGGAGGAAGCCCCGAAGCCCUAGGGUAUUGUUAUGAGUCUCACAAUACCCUUAAGAAGAAGUUUUUAAAUGCUCAUCUCCUCCUGAACCGUUUAUGUUUUAAGUCUUAGAACUUCGUCUAACACUGCACUGUCAAGUUUGCUUCAAUCUAUGUUCUGUAAUAACUCGUACCUAUUAUAUGUAUGUAAAAAUGUAAUAUUUGUUGAUGCUAUCCCAUCGCAGAUACUAUCCUGAUGUAUGGCUAUGAAACACAACGUGGAUCUUUCGAGGAGUCCUAGGGACACUCAACGGACGACCGGACUUAUACUGUUUUAAGUGCGUUUCGGAUAAUUGCUGCGUCAGCAGCAAUUAUGCGCAUUUAAACCAGUUUAAGUUGGACGAUUCCGCCACAUUACGAUACCAUACUGCAUCCGGGCUCGUAUGCGAUCCCCCACAGAGGACCACCCCGGAACUCUGAAGCACUCCCAUCGGGGCCAAUUGGGGGCAAAAGUAAAUUAGGGGGCACAAGGUCAGCACCACUCCCCCCUACACUGAUACUCUAUCAUACGGUAGGUAUGGUACCACACUUGCCAGUCUCGACCCGGGCCUAGACCUAUAGUUCGGUGAGUAGUGUGCACGUUUAACAUAUUCCCAUGAAGCAUGGCAAUCCACUCGGCUUUAGACCGGGGUGAGCUUCUAACUCCCAAAAGCGUCUCCACGACGUGAUCCGCAACUGCACCCAUAAUAGGUAUCGCCACCAACUCUCCUCAACUGUGUACUCACAACAAGUACCAAAAAGGGAACGCCCGAGAGCGGACCCCAAGCCCCCAAUGCAAAGAUUGGGUUGUGUAAAGCUCACCCCCGUCAAGUAUUCCAAAAACACCUUCUCCUACCAGCUUUAACCCCACACACGCCAAGAAUCCUAAUCACAAUAUCCCAUACUCAUGCAAGCAUCGCACAUCGCAUCUAUAAGUAGUAUAGUAGUAGGUCAAACAAGGAUAUAAAGCAUAAAGAAGGCUAUGCAUGGUUCAUCAUCAUCAUGCGAGGAAUAAAGUGCUAGCAUACUACUUAGCAAUGCAUAAUGGGAAUUCAAAUCGAAUGGGCAUGAACCUAAGUAGUCUUCCUCCUCAUAGUAGUCCUCGAACGGCUCUGGCUCCGGGUUUAGCCCCAAAUCUCCGGCAGCUCCAAUUUACGCAAUUACCAUAAUUACUAGGAUCUAAUUGCAAAGUAAACCACAAAGAGAUCCAUAGACGAACCAAACAAGAAUAAAGCCUAGUCUAAUGCGUGCUGCAUGAUUUUAGAAAAUUAUGAAACUAGUUUCAUUAUUUUUGGAAUUAGAAUGAAUUAGUUAUGAAAUUUUGAAGUUGAAAACAUUUUUUAGAAUUUGAUAUAAUAGGUGAAAAUAGGAAAUAAAGGAGUUAGCAGUUAACUGGCUGUAGGUCAGAUGCAGUCUGAAUGUAAGCUGCCACAAAGGGUUUACAGGUAGCUUUGGCGGUCUAAAGGCUGGUGGUUAAGCUGAUGUGGAUAGUUUAUGGUUUCUAGGGAUAAAACCCUGAUGUUCCGACUUUGGAGAACCCGAGGUUCCGAUUUGAAACAGGAAGUUCUGGCUUAGGAUAAACGGAUGUUCUGAUUUUAGCUCUCUUGGGGAGGUCUCUCGGGAAAGACUCUGGACGGUCCUGGGAAGAUGUGGUUCACAACUCGUGGGUUUGGAGUUCGUUUGGUUAGGUCUUUCUAUUGUUCCUCGAGCUCUUGCAGGUUGACUGAUCAAAAUCGGAAGUUCUGGUUUGGAAAACUGAAAGCUUCGGUUUUCCACGGGGUUCGGCUGUGGUGAGGUUUGCACGCGCGCGAGCGCGCGGCCAAGGCCACACCUACGACACGGCCAUGUCGUGUGCGCGGGCACCUGGGCUUUCCAGUGCGCACGGCUGCAGGUGUGGCGGAACCGCCCAACUUAAGCAAGUUUAAGUGCGCCUAAUCGCUGUCGGAACAGCAAUUAUCCGAAACGCACCUAAAACAGCAUAAGUCCGGUAGUCCGUCGAGUGUCCCUAGGACUCCUCGAAGGAUCCACGACGUGUCUCAUAGCCAUACAUCAGGAUAAUAUUUGCGAUGGGAUAAUAUCAACAAACAUUACAUUUUUACAUACAUAUAAAAGGUGCGAGUUAUUACAGAACAUAGAUUGAAACAAGCUUAACAGUGUAGUGUUAGACAGAGUUCUAAGAUUUAAAUAUAAACAGUUCAGGAGAAGAUGCGCAGGUAAAACUUUUUCUCUAGGGUAUUGUGAGACUCAGGUCAAUACCCUAGGGCUUCGGGGUCUCCUCCUCUGUAGACUCCUGUGGAGCUUCUGAAAGAUAGCCACAAGGGGAAAACCCUGAGUACGGGGUACUCAGCAAGUCUUACCCGACUAACCAAUAUAAUAGUUCUCUUGGGAUGUAUAUGAUAGCUUUUUGGUGUACUUGGCUGACGCAACUUUUGCCAAAAAGCUUACUACAAGUGAUGCCUUAGUUUUAUCUUUUAAUUGGGUUAAGUCAUUUACCUAACCAUUCUAAAUGAUGAGCAGAAAGUAAAAACAACCAUAGAUGUUAAGUCAUACAUCAAACCUCAACCAAAGAUAUAUAUAUAUUGCAUGAAUUGAUACUACGAUGCUCAACAGUGAUCAAGUGCAUUCAUAACCGAGAAUUGCGGUGAUCCGGACCCAUUUACAUCCUGCAGGAGAGUACCCUGAUCACCAGCUUUAUACGACUGUCCAGGUCGUAUCUAACAACCUCUCGAUUAGCAAAAUCAAUGAUUAGGAAUACGACUACCCGGACCCAGGGAUGCACCCCCACAUGGGACCCCACGUCUGGCCCGAUCACCAUGUGAGUUUCAGGCUACACCCCUGCCAAUCUCCAGCACGUCAAGCGCGGGUACGAAGUAUUCCUGAUCAUAGAGUUUACAAACCUACUGGGCUUUACUGGUCCCAUACCCAGUAAGUGAUCAGAUGCUUAUCACUUGAUCAAAGGUUAAGACAACGAAUCGGGCCUUAACCAAAUUAAUCUAGCAGACAGAACUGCAUCUUUAGUUUCUGUCCGCUUUCAACUUUCCAAGUUAUCUUCCAUAAGCAACAUGUAUGACUCAAAAGUUUUCCUUAAGGUUGGUAAACCAAGCAUUUAAGCAACUAAGCAUUUCUAGACUUGGGUUAUCUUCUAAGGUUUGAACAAGUGGCAAAGAUGUCCUUAAAACAAGGUAUGAUCAUACACAAGAAAUAGGUUUCAAGCAACUCCUAGACUUAGUGCAUACAUAAAGCAAAUAACCAAUAAUUAGACACAUGAAAUAACGACUCCAAAAUAAAUAGGUAUAAAUGCACCGGGGCUUGCCUUGUUCGCUUAAAAAGUUAGUAUUCUCUGACGGGUUGGCUUCACAAGGGACUAACUCAAAGACUUCUUCGAACUCCGAAGGUCCUUCUAAAAAUUCCAAAUACUCUCCUUCUGGUGCUUCGGGAUCUAUAGCAUAAUACAUGCAGGGUUAGAAAUGCAAAAUUUUGAAUAAAAGACUAUACAACUCUCCUUCAUGAGAAAGUUGCAAGCCAACAAGGACUAUACAACCUAUCAUGAUAAAGUUGCAAGCCAACACACAAAAACCCAAAAGAUUAACCCAUAAUUUUAUUUUUCUUACUUAACCCCCUUAAGGCUUUUUCUUUUAUUUUUAGAAAAAGUUAUAAUUAUUUUCUAACUUGGAAACCUAAUUUCCUAUGAGUUAAGAAUAAUUUGUGAUUAAGAAAAUGUUAUUCCUAUUUUAUACAUUUUAUAAAUAUUAAGUAUUUAUUUAAUUACCUUAAAAAGAAGGCAUUAAAUAAAUACCCAAAUUUUUAUUAUUUUUCUAGGGUGUAAAAAUUUUAAUACAUAAAGGAAAAUAAAACAAGCCUAACAAAAUUGGUUUCACUAAUUUUGGACACUUCUAGAAAUUUCUGUGAUUUAAAAUGGUGUAAAACGGAUUUAAACUAAUUACUUUCCUAAAGGAAAUCUAAUUUUCCCGAAAAGCACCCGGAUAAACUUUUCUUACUCAGCCUAACUCUACCCUCUCUCACGCGCACUGGGCCCCACGGCGCGGACCCACCGAAACACUGUUCCAAUGACCCGCCGGCCCUAUUCUUUCCUUAACGGGCCUCGUGGGCCGAUUCUCUCUUUCCUUUUCUUUUCUCUGGUCCAACAUCGGCCCAGCGGCCCAUCUUUUCUUUUCUUCUUUUCCCGCGGGACCGGCCUACUGGAUCUCUGGGCUUUCGGCCUUUUUCUCUUCCGGUCGACCGCGCUCGCGUCACUGGGCCUCCAGGCUGCGGCCCAGCAAACGGCCGCGCGCCCGGCCUCCUUCUCCCCCUCUCCCUUCUCACUACCGUGCGGGCCCGAGUGCCCAGACGCUUCUUCCUCCUCCCGCCAAAACACGCACGCGUAACAGGGGGCGGCGCGACUCGCUGGCCGGCGCCCCACCGGCGGCGAAGCUGGGUCAGGACAGCACCUCUACACCUUCAUACACCCGUGCGCGGCAACAGCUCCUCGGGAGACGGCCGGAGCCAUUCCCUCCACGGCGGCGGGCGGCGACACCUUCGGCCGGUCGUGACUACUCACGACGACGCACAACUUACUCAAAAAACUACCCUUACACCAUCCUAGGACCCUAAGGACUUGCCUACGACUACUUAAGAAGGAAGGGGAACAGCGCAAGGUAGGGCUCACCGUGAACGGACGGCGCGGCGACGGCGGACAGAAACAACGGCGAGCACGGUUACUCCGGCAUGGAUGUUGGACAACAACUUGGCUGGGGUGUAGCUGGGGUGUCUGUGGAGGAAUGGGCGAGAGGAAUCGACGGGAGGUGAGGCGUGGCGGUGGAAUUUUGCUCGGCGGCGGUGCUUGACAGAGGAGGCGCUGGCGGCGGUAAAAAGAGCGGCGGUGAAAACAGCGGCGCGGGAGCGGUAGUUAUUCAAGCGUUCACCGCGCGCAUGGGUGACACCGUGGCCUACCCAUAGGCUUAUGUGGUGAGGAGGUGGCCUAGCUAGACGCGCUGGCGAGCGACCGACGACGGCGGCGACGACACGUCCUGCUGCUCUGUCACCGCUCCUCUUUUCUUCUUCUAACGCCCGUGACUUCAGAGCGAAAUUACGGCCGAUCUUCAAUCCAAUGGUCCCCAAGCGCCUUAAUAGAAGUUGGAGAUAAACUCAAACCCUUCACCUUUUAUUUUGGCUCUGACCUGAGAUAAUCAUCAAAUACAGCUGAAUUUUGAUUUGUUUCUCGGGUUCCUCUGAAGUUUACUGAAACUGAUAUUCAGUUCAUCAGUCAAUCAAGGUGCUCAUUUGCCCGACUUAGUGAUCCAUUUCGGUGGUCCAAAUUCCCUUCCCGUAGCUCAACUUCUUCCCGAUGAUGUUCUACAACCUCCAAAGUUUCCAUUUUGCCCAAGAACACCUACCCUUCUUGAUCCCCAUCUCUCUGAUUUAAAUCCAAAGUUGAUCAGAUGCUGCUGUUUUCAGACUUAGGCGUUUUCAGUGAUAGUUAAACUGUGACAAUGUGCUGACUUUGAGCUAUAUUUCGAAAUUGUUCCCUUCCAUGUUCCUGGCCAACAACACCCAAAUCUUGUAGUCCAAAGGUCAUACUUCAAUAUAGUAUAGUUGUCCUGGUGCACUUAUUUGAAAAAUUCUUCAGAAAUCAAUUUCCAAAAUGGACUCUGAGGCUGUUUUUCUGAAAUUCUAUUUUCAGACGAGGAACAGUAACUUCAGUUUUCCUUUUUCUUUCUUUGAUUCCUCUGAGCUAUUUAGCACCAUUUCUGUUCCAAAUUUUUGAUCCUUAAGUUCUAAUCACUCUCAUACUCGUAUUCCAUACUUUUGCCGAAUUUUUCUGAAUUUCAAAUUUAAAAUUCAAAUUUCGGCCAAAUUUGACCCGAAUUUGAUUUUCGGCCAAUUUCUUUUUCUUUUCUUCUCAAUUUGCUUUUAAUUUUUCAAAGUCACUUAGAUGACUAAAUUGGCAGCUGUUACAGCAGGGAUCGCGGCGGGAUGGCUCGAAGGCUCGCGGGUCAUCUAGGCAAGCGGGGCCGUGAAGCUCACCUGGUGGGCUUGCUGGAGAGGAGAUGGUGGUGCGGUGGCGAGGUGUAGCGGUGGUGAGGCGGCACCGUGCAGGGAGCCCGGCAGUGUUGGCGUAGUCGUACGAGCGCGGGCUCGACGGCAUUCCGGCGAGGAUAGCAGUCUCCUUCUCCUCCUCCGAUGUCCUCUCCUCGCCUCCUGCGCCCCCUCCUUCCCUCUCCUCUUCUCCAAAUGGCAUCGGGUGAAGGGGAAAACCCCAAUUGCGGUGGCGGCUGGGAGUGGCUGGUGCGGAAGCCCAAAUAGGCGAUGGCUAGGGCUUCUUGGCGGCGAUGGAUGACAGGGGAUGUGGCCGGGCGGCGUGCAUGCAUCCAUAUGUGCCAUCGCAAAAGUGGUGCAGGCGCGGCCGACAUCAUGUGCGGAGUGCACGUCGCUGGCGCGCUCGUGCCGCGCGCAUGAGCGCCGUGGGGAAGAAAAGGAAACAAUGGUGCGGGCGGCUGAUGUGUGGGGCCUGGCAGUUAGCAGCUACGGCAUGGAGGCGGUUUGGCACUAGGUUGUUAGAAAGCCGGAAGUUCCAAGUUUGGAAAACCGGAAGUUCUGGUUUUUGCAUCUACCUUAGUUUGGGUAGUUAGCUAGGUGGGCUGGUGAGGUUAGCUGGGUUGGUUUGGGCCCAGGUUAGGUUUAGUUAGCUUUUCUAUUUUGAUUUGUAUUUGAAUUCCAAUUCAAAUAUAAAUCCCACUCAAACAAAUCGAAAUAAAUUCCAAAUGAACUCCAAAUAUUCACACUAGCACAUAUUACACAUUAGCAAUUCAAUUUAAUUUAUAAAUCAAUUUUGGGGAUUUUGGGAGAGAUUCAAUAAAGACACUCUUAUAGUUUGGAAAAUUCACUCGACAAACACAAAAUUUUUGAAAUUCACAGUUUUGCAAAUUCAAAUAUCUCAUAAAACUACGGGAUGUUAUAGAUCCUAAAAUGGGUAAGGCUUUUGUUGAGGCCUCAGUCCCAUGCACAUCCCUAGAUGCGACCACCCAUGCCGCGCCACAAAAGCCGUUGGACCCAUCAUCGAAUAUAGGUGGUGACCGCACGCAUUCCCACUGCCACCAGCAACCAUGCAAUACGUGCGUCCCCACAUCAGGCAUCCAAAGGGGCCCCUAGCCACCGUAGCAGCAGCACUGCCGCUGGCCAUUGGGCAGUAGCACUGCUGCGCUGCCAGCCACCGCGGUAGCAGCCCUGCUAGCCGGGUAGCGAGUCACCGCAACCCUGCCACGCCAGGGAUGGCAGUGCCGCACAUGAACAGCAUCGGCCUUCACAGGCUGCACAUCGCUGUUGCCGCACAUAGCUGCAGUAACGCAUGUAUGUCGUGCUGCGGCUGUAGGACCCAAGGCCGUGCGCCGACGCCGUUGUAGGACCCAAGAGGAGGCCCGGUUGUGGAACAGGGUGUCAGCCGCAGAUUGAACCACCACGACUGCCCCGCACGAACCCGAUAGCUAUAAGUCGCUACACUCAGCACUAGCGACAGCACAGCGUUCACUCACGCGGGAACGCUGGGCACCAUCCCCCGCGAUGAGGACACGCAACCAUCAUAGAUCUGCAUCCUAGGGUGGCAGAUCCGACUGCCGCGCCUAGGCCACAAAUUUGGCUGGAGCACCACCGACAUGCCACCACCAUGGAAAGGGAAAGGAGGAGUACAGGGUGAGAGAAGGGAGGGGAAACACAAAGGGAAAAAACAUGCCCCGCUGCCGCCGUCCUUGCAGCUGCCAUGUUUCUGGCGGCCUGCUCGAGCGGUGGCAUAGCAGGCGGGGCUGGUUUCCGCCCGUGCCCUUCCCGAUAGAGACAAUGCAGGCAUCUUCUAUGAAAGAGUUAAGUAGAUUCUGCCUUCAUUGUGAAGCAUCCAUUAUUGCCACACCCGACUUUAGAAACAAAACCGAAUACUCGUCGUAUAUAUGCCAUGGUCAAUCACUCAUACAUGUGACAAAGACAAUAGUGAAUCAUAGCAAUGUCAAGUUAACUUCAAUUUAUAAAAUAUUUUCCUCCACUAAAAUUUAGUCCUUCCACUAAUCAUUUUCUAGAAAAUAUCAAACUGUUGUAAAAACUGAAAUUUAGGGUGUUACAACACUAGCAUUAGUCCCGGUUGGGAAGCCUCAUAUAUCUCGGUUUUCCCAACCAAGACUAAUUAAUCGGGGCUAAAGGUCCCCAUCUUUAUUCCCGGAUCUUUCAUCUGGGCCUAAAGAGCUUCCUUUUGAUUACCAACUGGGACUAAACGGUUUUGCAUCAAAAAAAUAUUCUAAAAUUCUCGAGAGGCCUCCUACACGUGCAAGUCACAAGUCACACAAUUUUUCACGUAAAAUAUGCACCUGCGCGUUGCGUGGGAUUCGAAUCCACGACCUCAAGUCUCACGUGUAGCUUCCUUACCAUCUUACCUACACAACACAUCUAACUAAGUAGGGGAUGCAAUCCUUUCGCAGUAACUCAUGGGGGAUCCAGGUCACCCUUUAGUCCCGGUUGCCCUCGGAGGCUUUAGUCCGAGUUUGUAACACCAACUAGGACUAAAGAUCACCUUUAGUGCCGGUUGGUGUUACCAACUGGGACUAAAGGUGUCUCCACGGACUACAAAAUUUAGACCCGAGAUUAAAACCUCUUUAAUCCCGGAUCAAAAACAACUGAGUUUUGUUGAGAAUGGAAGGUCAUUUUCCUAUUUAGCGAUGCACUGUCUAUUUCCUUGCUAGACCAUGGACUAUAUUCCCACCACACAAGUGCGUAAAAUAGCUCGGUCAUGACUUUCCCAUCCAUGGAACCCAAUGUGUAGCCCCCUAGAUGUGCAUCUAUGUGAAGCCGGUUGAACGGGAGACGAGGCAAAGUCGUCGUCCCCCAUGAAAAGGGAACUAAGAAGUCAACAAGUCAAUGCGUGUGCCUCACCUUCUGGGGCUCACAGCCAUAUCCUUAAUUCGCUUCUUCACCACCACCAGAAUUCCAAGCGCCAUCACUUGAAAAUCACCACUGUAGAAUAGUGCACUGGUGCUCUCACCUCAACGCAUCGGUUGCCACCACUUGCUGAUCCUCUUAUGAAAACCAUGAGCAUCCGCGGCCACGCCAUGGCCUUCGCGGUCGCCAGCCUGCUGAUGGCCCUCACGCAUUACGCGGCUGGCAUACCGUUGCUCGCAUUCCUCGGCUUCUCCGAUCGGGAUUUUCUCACCACCCCGACCAACCAGGAUGAUCUGGAGGUGUUUCUAUUGACAGCCAAGAACGUCUCCUCCGACAUCACCAGCCGGUUCAGCGCAUCCACCUUCACGCUCUUCAAUGCCGUCGCCGAUUACGUCGCCACCACGGACUCGCAGAGAAAGUUCGGGACAGGAGCCAUUCAUUUUGACGACGCAACCUACCCCAAUACGUACGGCAUGACAUCAUUCAAUCCGGGCCUUCGAACUCACGAUCUCAAGCCUCGCACGAGGCUUCCUUACCAUCUCACCCCUCUUCUCUUCUUUGACUAUAUCGAAUUUACUGAGCAUGUUCUAUUAAAUUUUAGACCAUCAAUUCAUCUGAUCUAAGGGCUCAUUUCUCCACCCCGCUUUAUUCUCUUUCGAUCAAUCAUGACCCUCACGAGCCGACCAUAGCCUAUAUAGGCAUAUCCUAAAUUUGGACCAUCGAUUCAUAUGAUCCAAUAGGUCAUUUCUCCACCCCACUUCUUUUCUUAAUAAAUAAUAAUCCUCGCAUAGGAUCUGGCUAUUAACUAUUUGGGCAAAUCCUAAACUUUGGCCCAUACACCCCAUUUAUUUUCUUGAUCAAACAUGAUCCUCCAUAGGAUCUAGCUAUAGCCUACGUGGGCAAGCCCUGAAUUUUAAGCCGUGGCCGUUGACUCAUUUGGUCAAAUAGCCCAAUUAUUUCUCGACCCUAGUUCAAUCCAAACUUUUCUGCUAAUCAACCCUCCCGUAGGAUCCAACCAUAGACUACAGGGGUGUUUGGAUACUAGGUGCUAAACUUUAGCAGUGUCACAUCGGAUGUUCGAAUGCUAAUUAGAAGGACUAAACAGGAGGUAAUUAUAAAACUAAUCACAGAACCCUGUGCUAAUUCGCGAGACGAAUCUAUUAAGCCUAAUUAAUCCGUCAUUAGCAAAUGGUUACUGUAGCACCACAUUGUCAAAUCAUGGACUAAUUAGGCUUAAUAGAUUCGUCUCGCAAAUUAGACUCCAUCUGUGCAAUUAGUUUUAUAAUUAGCCUAUGUUUAAUACUCGUAAUUAGCAUCCAAACAUCCGAUGUCACAAGUGCUAAGUUUUAGGGGGUGUAUCCAAACACCCCAUAUUUGAACUUGUCCUAAAUUUUGGACCAUCGAUUCAUGCGAUCCAACAGCCUACUUCUCAACUUCACUACUUUUUCAAGUCUAGUUAUUGGGCUUUUCCUAAAUUUGGACUGACAAUUCAUGUGAUCCAACAACCCAUUUUACACAUGUUUAAUAUAAUUUUUCUUCCCAUCAAUCCCCACCCUCCCGUUCCGCCGCUACCACCCACAGUUAUCGACAUUCGACACCAAUAAGCCACCCCCAAAGCCUCUGUCCUCCAUCAGCAUUACCUGACUGCUUGACUAUUGCGACCUUCUCCAUUGUGCCGCUCACCCCUGAAUGAUUAGAUCCUCCUCUCCGAUGCAUUCCCAUGACAAUAUUUGUUGUUGCACAGACUCAAUUGGCUUUGCCAGUAUAUAUGAUGACUUGAUGCCCUCCAUCUCCGUUCCUGUUCAUCACUACCAUAGUUGCAACUUUCCCUUUUUACUCGCUACACUCCAGUGAGCAAGGCCCCUACCCUAAUUCCUCACCUCGUUGGUAUGUCACCUGAAUCGGAGAAGAAGAUAUAUAUACAAUGUGUGAAUGUUCUAUCACCUCAAAGAUGGAGUGCCAUCUCCUACAAAUAAAUUCUGGGAAAAAUUAUCUUUCCCCAUUUAUCCUAUAACUUCCUGCUAGCUUUUCAGGCAUACACAUAUAUAGUACUUGUCAACAAUGCACGGUGAUCAAUCGAUCUGAAAGCUGGAAUAGAGAAAGAAUAGGAGGAAAAUAUCAAUUCCCUCAGCCUCUAUAUAUGCAAUUAGCUAAGAAAAGUAGAUAGAUCGAUCCACGCAUCAAUGCAUUUUUCAAUUGAUUUGUUUGUUGAUCUGUUCCAUGGAGGAGAAUACGCAUGGAUACAUUAUCAAUCGAGUAUUUUUGCUGAUGUACACUUCAACUCCUAGGGGCUAGCUACCGCACUACUCUUAAUCAUGGAGGUAAAAACAAAUCAUGCUCACGCAUUAUCGACCGAGCUAGUUCACCACAACACCCAAAAGAAGGAGCAUUUAUAAAUACACAUGGAUCAAUCAAUCUGUAUAUGGAAAGAUAGAUGUAGGGAGUAUCUAGGGAUAGUGAGAAAUGGAGCAGGAAGGAGCCAGAGCAUAAAUGGAAUAGUUACCUGCUUGUUAUACAGAGCAGAUGGGGCAAUCAUGUUGCUGGUGGUGCUGGAGAUCAUGUCCACAGAUCCUUCCUUCCUUCCACCAAGCUAUAUAUACAAAAUUAAUAAAGGACCAAACAAUUGAAGCCAGGAUCAAUCGAUCCAAGCAAAUCAAACCUGUUGUGGAACACCUUACCAGCAAAGAGUUGAGGAUGGAGGACGAACUUGCAGCCUCCAAUCUGAUCCCUCUCGUCGCUGGGGAGUAAGGAGGGAGAGUGAGAGAGAUACAACAUGUUAGAGAUACCUUCAGUUAUAUAUAGAGAGAGGGACGAGCACAUGGUGUGAGGACCUGGACAUACUAUGGGCUGCUGGAGAUGGAGCCACCGGUGAGGUGGAAACGAUAGGGUGAUUUCCCGUGAAAGCAACCACGCGUCAUGUGGGCUAGAUGAUGGUCCCUCCCACGAGGGAGAGCAAUCCAUGGUCUGCAGCCCACCCAUCGAGAAACUUUCCAGGUCGCCUCUUUUGUUUGCAUAUGUUGCAUAUGCAACAGAAACGAUGAGGACACUAGUAAUGCAUCAUUGUCUCCAUGCAUCAUCUUCUUCCACCGCAAGCUAGCCAAGCAACCCUUCCUCCUCAUCCUUGUUAAAUUAUUACUUGGAUUAGUAGCCAUCGACAGAUGUAUAAUCUAAUUUUAAAAAAGAUGUAUGAUAUGCGAAAAUUAUUACUUGGAUUAGUAUGCAUCAUCUUCUUCAACCUGCACUGUGCCAUUUGGUUCAAACUUCCGCCCCCUGCGUGCCAAUUUUGCCUCACGCGGUCACGCCCGUUAACUUACACAUAAAGACUGUUAUGCCCUCGCUUCUUCCUCCUCCCAAUCACAUAUAUAGACCAGCGCUCCAUUUGGAGGUCCCUGCUGCUUGGGCUGUUGGGACUCGAAUUGAAUCCACUUAAAGAAAGGAAAUCAAAUUUUGGCAAAACAAAAGGAAUCCAUUCGCAGACAAACACGAGUAUGGAAACCAAUAGUUUGAUACAUCCAAGUAAAACUUGUAGCGAUACAAAGAAAUCGAUUUGGCAACUUCUGUGAUUAAAUCAAAGCGGCGAUUCUAUCCGGCCAACUCUUUUUUUUUUCUGAAAAAUAUUCGGCCAACCACCGCCGGAAAAGUUGGCAUGCUCAGCAGGAGGGGGUUUGUCGGCAGUGAUCUGCACUACAGGAGAAAUGUUCAGGCGCUGCACCGAGGGGGUGGUUAGACUUCAUUAAACCAUCUUAAGCCAUGAUAUCUAUGCAAGCCUAAGCUGCCGGCCGUCAUAUGCCAGGGCGCUGGCUUGGCUUGAACAACUUAACGCAAGAAGUCAGAGCACCAAUACAGGCUUGUGCUGGAAACUGAUCGUUGCUACCAAGGAAAGCCUAAAAUGGGCAUGUCCACUCCCUCGCCCAUAUCCUACUGAUAGAAUCCAAGCAUUAUCUCCUUUAUUAGGCAGAGCCAAAGUCGCGGUAGAAAAUAGAGAUUCAAGUGCAAAUAACUUUGGUAGAGCGUUGUAACCACAAUAUAUUAAUAUCGAUGCAACUAUAUUCAAAGCAAUAGUAAGCAUCUUAUGGGACCAUCAUAUCAUAUCCUGGAUCCUUGGGUCAGAACACAAACCACACAACAUUAUAUAUAGUUUACUCCUCAUCAUCAUAAAAGAAAAGAAGAGAAGCAAAAAUUAUUUAUGCUAGCGGAUCACCAUAAUUGUGUAAGCCUUCGUUACUUUGAAUAAACCGAAAUCAUGAUGAUGACCACAGUGCAGACGGAGGCCGCUAGGAGCAAACCACAUGAGGCGUCGAAGGAGAUGAAGAAUUUUCUACGAGCAGAGUCAAAGUAUUUUCCAUCAAUACGCUGACUGUCAACCACGAGACCUAGUCCGGCAGCACCUCCCGAGGUGAAUAAUGUGCAAAAUACCUAAACAAUGUACAUUCAUUCAGCAUAAAGAGUGGUAAGCAUCCUGUAACCGUCUGUCUGUCAAUCUUUAAUUCGGAAACAAACAAUAAGAGAUGUUUCCGAUGAGUACUUAGAAAAUAUCAUAGUUAGUCCUUGCAACGUCAAGGACUAAUUCAGAAACAAAUAAGAGAUGUGAAAGAAUAGUUGUAUGAUCAUAUCUUCAGAACCUUUAACAACUCUACUAUACUAUUGAAGAAUAUAGCGAGGAAAUGCUUACAACGUCAAGGAAACUGAGGAACCUUGCAGCAUUGGUGCCUCCAACUCUCUUCCCUUCGAUGACAGCAAUUAUUGCCAAGGAUAUUAGUAUCAGACUGUAUGCACAGCCAAUGGCAGCCACAGACAAGACAUACCUAAAAGCAAGAACAAAAGCAUGGUAAGAAAUUAAAUGAAGAGACCUAAUUACCAAGAAAGUUGUAUAAGGUUUUUAUUGUUUCCCUCUUUCCAUCCUUUUCUUUCAUUUUCAUAUUUCAUGAAAAAAGUAGAUUAUAUGCAGGUUAUCAUUUUUUGAACUCUCAUAGCCAGCUGCAUGCAAACUCUCACCUGUAUGUGUAUAGACCUUGGAAGGUAAAGUCAUAUUGUUGGGUAAGUUCUAUAUCACCGAUAUAGAUAUAAAUUGGGUAAGGUCCAUAUAUUGUUUUAGCUGUCGUUGCUGUGACGACAAGAGAAGCUGCGAGGAGGCAUAGUGUAAUUACCCGAAGGAAUAGAGUUACCACAGGGAGAGCUCGACCUCGAGCUGAGAACGCCAUUUGUGGCUUAGAUGCUAUGUGCUUGCAUUGUGCUGGUUGUUUCCAUAAGGAUUUAUACAGGUCCUCUGCAUGCAUGCAGGGCCGCUUGGUUGGAAAUAACGAGGAGUUAAGUUCAAGAAAAGCAACUACAAGGACGAUGGGAUUCUUCCUUGCUUAGGUCGUCAUGCACAGCUGACAAGGCGAUCGAGGUGCCUUCAGUCUUAAGCUGCGUAUAAUAACAAGGGUAUGGGUAUUAAUUUUGCCAGAGUAAUCACUGUUCGACGAGAAGAUACUGCUAACAUUUGGUUCUAUGCUAAAAAUGUUAUAAUCAAUGAUGGAAUAGUAAACAAAGAUACUAGUUUAUUUGGAUGGAUGUUCUUGUAGAUGUAAGUAAAAUCCUAAAUUACAUAUUGAUGAAAAAUAUGGUGCAAGAUGUUCAUUGCCAUCAUAAACCAAAGUACAUGUUCAUAACUGCAGUAUAUAUUGUGCGAAAUAGAGACCGGAGAUGAUGCAUGGAUCACCAGCCAUACUGUAAUCUCCUUGAUGGUAUUGCCCCACAUCAUCAUAGUAAAGGAAUGCCAUGAUGUAGCUUGAUAACGUGGUAUGAAAUUGUUGGUAGCCUGGAUAUCAUCCAAAAGGAUUGAAAAUUGAAAUGAUAUGUUAUGGGUACUGGGGAUGUUAAUUGGGUCCGCAUGGUGAAGGUGGUUGGAUAUUUGUGGGAAACUGAGGUGGAGGGAAACUCUGGAACCGGUGGUUGUAGCCACUUUGUGGCCCAUGAAUUCUGGAGUUGAGGUUGAGGAGUUCACCAGGCUUCUGAAAGCUGUCCGAUGAAGACGGGUCCAUGCUUUGUUUUGUAAAAGGGAGAUCAGAGCUAAGCCAUUGUUUUAUCUUGUUUCUGAAAGAGUAUAGGCAUAAAUUUUCAAGCGAAAUAGAUCAAUAUAUAGACCAGGAAACAACGUCUAGUUGGCAACGUUAUUAAGGUGGUUGGUUGAUUCAAUGUACACAUUUAUAUGCAUGCAUCGAUACAUUUUCUGUACUCGAUUCUUUUCCCGUACAAAGAUUUGAUUAUGAGUCACUUUAUAAAGAAAAAAAUGUAUUUUUCAUCCCUCAAGUAUUACAAAAAUAUCACAUUCAUCCCUCAUAUUUCAUUUAGUGCAAAUCAUGCAAAUCAACUGUUUAACUAACUAAACCAGUGCAGUUGUCAUCCUUACCUUAGUUUGGCUUAAUGUCAUCUAAUAGCGGUUUGUGCCACGUAAUCAUCUGAUUAAUCCCUUCUUAGCGAUGUAAUAUGCUGAGUUGAAGAUAUAAAGUAAAAAAAAGUAAAUCCUCUAAGUUGCCUAUCCCAUAAAAAAAUUAUCAGAAAAAUUAACAGAACCAAUUUUCCCAAACUAUUAUAGCGAUUGAUUCAACAUUAGACAUGGCUAAGCAGUGAUUAGUAAGAUGAUUACAUAGUCUAAUUUGGUGUUAUAUGAUAUUAAAUUAUUUUUAAAUUAAGAUAGGAUGCUAAAUAUACUAAUUUAAUUAGUUAAGAGGUUAAUUUACAUCAAAUGAAAUAUGAGAUAUGGAUGUCACACUUUUGCGAUACUCGUAUAUUGCUAAGCCCUCGAGCAACAGGCGAAGAGAAUUGGUACCGCCGCUGAUUGUUUGGGCAGUUGGCCUCCGUGAGUCAACAUUUGGCCAUGGCCAAGAUCAGCCCAUGGGCCGUGAGAUAACUUCCGGUCAUGACAAAAUAUCAUCUUGCGCUAGAAAUGUACGAUGGUCCAUCAAUUCCAUGGGCCAGGUGCUCGUGGGCUGGAGCUUUGCCUUCCUAAGAACAUCACGGAUUUCCCUUAAAAAAAAGAACAUUACGGAUCUUUUAUAGAUCCAAUACCCAGCCAAUUUGCACAGUAACCAUUUUUUGCUAAUUAAUGAUAAUGCUGAUGAUCUUCAAAGACCGGCACAUGUACAACGCUCUGCAAAAGUGUGUUAGUGACCUAGAGCGGUGCCGGACAGUUUCCUUGGAAAUAGCUAAGAUGGUAUGUUGUCAUGACAUCUGGAAGUAAUUUUAUUGCUUCACGUGUGAAUUUCUGAUAAAACUAGUGUGUGUUGCUUAUGGGGUGUUUGGGAGCACUCCACUCCACGAAAAAUUGCUCCACUCCACCAACUCCGAAAAUUUCGCAGCCAAACGCGUCUAGCUCCAGCAACUCCGGCUCCAGGAAAAAGGUGGAGCAGGGGGGUAGAUCCACAUUUUUUGUGGAGUACCUCAAGGGGUGCUCCAAAAACCCCCUUUACAGACCUCCUUGUGGAGUAGGUGGGUAUUUACCCACCAUUGCCACUCGUUACACACAUACCGGUUCGAUUCAAGGAAAAGAAAACACCCCGGCUCGCUGUGCUGCCCCUGCCUGCCUGCCGCCCGCCGCCCCGGCUCGCCGCGCCACCCCUGCGCCCGCCGCUCGCCGCGCCGCCCCGGCUUGCCUCGCGCCACGCCGCCCCUGCACCCGCCGCUCGCCACCCCUGCGCCCGCCCGCCCGCCCGCCGCUUGCUGCGCGCCGCGCCGCCUGCCGCGCCCCGUGCCCGCCCGCGCCCGCCUGCCCUGCGCCCCACGCCGCCUGCCCGCCACUCGCCGCCCGCCGCGCAUCGCGCCGCGCCCGCCGCGCCCCGCGCCCUCCGCCCACCGCCCCUGCGCCUCGGGAGAAGAAAGGAGAAGGAGAAGAAAGGAGAAGAAAAGGAGACUGACAAGUGGGACCCAUUCACAUGGGUAUAAUAGACCAUUCACAACAAGUGCUAAUGUUUUUGGAGCUGGAGCACUGCCAUUAGCCAAACAUGUGCAGCAGCUCCAUGUUUUUUUGGAGUUGGUGGAGUGGAGCUAGGAAAGUGUGGAGCUGGUGGAGUGGAGCUGGUUUUUCUGGAGUGGAGUGCUCCCAAACAGGCCCUAUAUGUGUAUGCAGGGGCGGAGCUACAGGGUGGUCCCGGCCUGUGGGCCAUGGAUCACCAUGAAAUCCAGCCUAGGAUCUAUUAGGCUAAUCCAAGUGGGGGUUUCAUAGGGGUUUCAUGCAAAUUAAAUACAGUGACACAUCAGCAUAUGUGAUGACAUGGCAUGAUAGUUAUGAAGUGAGAGAGGGAAGGAGUUUCAUCAGGAUGAAACUGUAUAUACACUGUUUCCAAGACUAUGAAACUUGCAUUGGGGGCUAUAGAGUUUCAUUUCAUCUAAAUGUAUCCAAUCGCAUGCCUCAUAAUUAAAUGUCAUGGUCAUCCUAUGAAAUCGUGAAAUGAAACUGUGCACUGGGACUCUCUGUUUCAUUCAUGAGAAUACACCUCAUGGGAUGAUGUAGCAUCUUUAGAAACAGUACAAUGAAACCUUGCACUGGGACUAGCCUUACCCUCUCUUCCGAUCCACGAAACAAAAAAUUUUCGCCUCUUGUCCUUCCGCCGUUCUGUGUCGCUUUGCAGUUGUUUUUCCCCUGAGGUAACCGUAUGGCCUGAUUGGAGCAUGGAGCAUGAGAAACCACGGCCCCGGCCGCUAAUAACGGUGGCGGCCAGCAAGCAGGAGCAGCAUUGCAUCAACUGGAGUCAGCAAUUGGAGCACCUAGCCUGAAAUGCUAGCUACGCCACUGUGUCUAUGUUAUGCGAAAGCCGUGUCUAGGCAGCUGUGUAUUUUUUAGAAAAAGGAAUUAAUUGUCUCUAGCUAGUAGCUAUGUAUAAACGUCUUUUUUAUAUGCCAUAGAAUUAUAGUAAAUCAUAACUACAGCGUUUAUUACUUGGAGGUUCAUGUGCGCAAUCAAGUGUCAACACACAAAUUACAGUAACAAACAAAAGGGUAACAGGUUGGCAUUAUUAUUAUUAUUAUUAUUAUUAUUAUUAUUAUUAUUAUUAUUAUUAUUAUUAUUAUUGAUGAACAUCAAUAAGAGGGGAAAAAAACUUCACUUCUUGUAGGCCGUAUUUCAAUAGUCUUUUGUAGCGAACAUUCUCCAGACUUAUUACAAUCAUGGACUGGUUGACCAAAGAAUUGAUAGAGAAGAAAAAUGAGAAAUAUUAUUCGUCCAUUUAUGCAGAUGCAGAAAACCUUUUUCCAAUGUCUAUAAUCAAAAUUCCUUCACGCAGGUGUUUGUCAGGCUAGCUAGGUGAGUGAGUGAACCGAGGCCAUUAUCAUGAUCACCAUGCAUACGGUGGCUCCCAGCAUCAAACCACACGAGACGUCCACCAAGUUGAGGAAAUUCUUGAAAUCAGAACUUUGUUGUUGAUGCUGGUACUCAACUGUUAGACCUAGGCCUGCCGCAGCUCCUGUGGCGAUCAGCACAGCAAGCACCUGCAGCAUGCGGGGACAUUCAUCAUCCGGCCAGCAAGCACUUUUUAUUCAGUAACUAAUACGAAAAAAAAGUUUGAUUUGAAAGAUUUUUUUUUUUAUUUUGAAGACAUAAAGAUAGAACAAUAAUAGGAAUUGAAUCCCAUAAAAAAUUCACUGUUUUUCGCUGGAGAAAUAAAAAGCUAACUAUGAAGUGCUUUGAAUGAAGGGAAACCCUUUUGAAACUCUACUGGAUGUGGAGAUCUAGAUGCUCCCCAGUCCUCCUCACACAGUGGCAAGAAUGCUUACCACAUCAGUGAAAAUGAAGAGAGCUAGGCCACGACCGCGCCCAAUUUUCCUCCCUUGGGCAACAUGGAUUGCGGCGAAUGGAAGCACCAACAAAGUAUAUGCACAGCCAAUGACAGCAGCCGACAGAAGAUACCUAAAAAGGUACCAAAUAGGCACAAAAUUAAAAUUGAGCAAACAAUCAACAAAAUUCAUUCACAAAAGAAAAAUAUAACUUGAUAGAUGAGAGGUCUGUUUAAAUUCACCGGUACGCGUAGAAGUCACGAAAGGUGAUAUUUGGUGGGUCUACUACAUCGGUAAACGGUGCGUAGAUUUUGUUAGUCACUAUGAUGAUAAUUGAAGCAACCAAGAGGAGGAGCGUGAGGACCCGCAAGAGCAGGGAUGCUGCAGCGAGAGCUCUCUCUGAGAAUGCCAUUUCUUUGCGCCAGGGAUGAGAGCUGAUCGUUGUCCAUUCCUUUCCAGCUUUAUACGAGUGGAUACUACCUUUCCUUUGGGGCAUAGUUAAUUGAUGCUGAGCUAUCUUGAAGGCAUUCUGUACAAAGAGUUCUUGUUCCAAUCGCUGUCUUAGUCAGUUAGUCUGAAGUUGUCCUGAAGAGGUCGGAGCUAGCCAAGCUAGCAUCUUACCAUUCUUUGUUUGUUUUGGUUGGAGCGCAUGCAAAGCUGGUACAAUCGUGCAGCAGGUCAAGUGUAAACAUGACAUCUGGCUGUUCGGGGGGUCAGGACCCGGUCGCUAGCAAACCGUCCUUUCUUGUAUUAUAAUGAUUACACACAUACUCACACCACAGGUGACGUACCUGAAAGUGCACAUCCUAUAUGAUAAGCACAAUUUCUACAAAUACGUCAGUGAACUCAAGGAUGUUUAGUUUGAGGAACGGUGUGGCUCAUCGCACCUUCUCAUUCCUCUUUUUUUUGUUUAGUUUGUGGAAUAGAAUGUCUUGAUCUAUUACCACCUCAUCGCUCACAAGAUAAUAAUCGAGUUACUCUACUAAAAUUCAUAGAAUGCACACAUUAUGGACUACCUCUCAAAAUACCCCACUAAUGCAUACUUGUGUUUGUAAAUCAUAGGAACUAGGAUUUUAAACCUUCGCAGGUCGAGCUGUAGCUUUACGCCUCCACGAACACAUUAAGGGGGUUACAUAUUAUAGGAUUUUAAAUCUAAACGUUGAGUUUAUUUUUUCUACGUUAACGGUGGUAAUGACAAAGGUAAUUUAGUGGUCACAUUAGGCUAUUUUUAUUAGUAUAGGAGGUGGAGAAUUUAGAUGCAAAUUUAGAGGGUGAUUUAAUUUAUAUUAUUUUUAAUAAUGGCAUAUAUGGGUAACUUAGGCACAAAUUCAGAGGGAUACUUUAUACUAUUUUUAAAAAUGGUAUAUAUGGGUAAUUUUGAUUAAAAUUAGGGAUUUCUAUAGAAUAUUUUCAUAAUGACAAAAAUGAAUAAUUUAUAUAUAAAUUUAUGACUGGUUCAGUUAAUCCUGAAUUAGGAGAGGUUGAGGGGGAUUAACUCCCCAGCAGACUUGUAGCGGAAUUAUUCCUCUCAAAUCCUCUUCAAUCCCCUUGUGGUGGGCAUUAACUAAAAAAUUCCUUAGGAUGUUAUUUAGAUUAUCUUUAUAAUAGCAAAGGUGGGUAAUGUUUUUAUAAAACUGAAUAGACCCUAUUGUAUUAUUGUAAAUGAUAAUAAGAGUUUAUCAAUUUUAUUGACGGAUGUUUCUAAUUAUUGCGGAAUUUAUUUGGAUUCUUUUUCUAGCGUAUCUUGUGAGAAUCAAUGUGCAUGCCUCAAAAGAUGUCUCGAAAUACUAACAGUAAGAUGAAUAGAAAUGGUACAUGCUUGGCGCACACACGAUAUGCAAUAGAAAAGCUCUUUUGUUUUAUUCCCAUCGAACAGAGAUGGAUGCACUACACUGCUUGAUGUGGGCAGCAGCACUGAUAUGCAAAACCAUGUUUACUGCAGAAGGCCCCGUUGCCAUCCUUGAAGCCCUUGUUGACACAAACUUGGCCGCAGUCAUGAUCUACACAGUGUGCACCACUGUAAGGAUAGCACGUCAUCUCUGGCUUGUGGCGACGGUCGUCAAGGUCGACUACACUUGCAACACAACACAAACAGAUUCAGAUUGCUUGAUUAGUUAGUAAUCUGAACAUCUCAAAAAAUAAUUCAAAGUAUAAGGAGUUAUAUACGCGUACCUUCCCCAGCUUGGCAGCAUGAAGAAGUGUGCGACAUGAUUGCAAGAAUCAAGAAAAUAGCUGCUGCCAAGUACACAACCCUCUUGGUACUGCAUUUGGCGAGUGCCAUGAGUGGAGAAUCGCUCACUUUAACUUCUGCUAGGAUUGGAGGAUAGGGUCACUUGUAGCUGCCUCUUCUGUAUUUCAGCGUGCGAGUGUUUAUAUAGAUCGAAGCACAACCAAAUCUCAAGUAAGAAUAUUCUCAGAAUUUGCCCCUCUCAUACUAAAGGUUUUGAUAUCCCUAGGAUAAAGUGUUCGAAAAAAAGAUAUCCCAAGGCUAAAACAAGAUAUAUCCACCAAAGGUUGAAAUAAAUUUGCAAGUAUCCAAUAAUUUCACAUGUCCUUCUGGUUUCUGUUUUGCCAAGUACGUCUUUAUUGCUUAUAUGUUCGGGUCAUAAAUAGGGUGAAAUUCUUCAACAUAUGCAUAUAUCACAUUGCCUUUUUUAUUAAAGGCCUACCAUUUUUAUAAAAAAUAAGGGAUCUAUUAAAUAAAAGAAAGUGUAUAGUAGUAAUCGUGAACGCAAGGUUAAUUCUAAUUAAUUUGCCACAGAUUAAAAGAAUGAAAAUUAAGAUGUUUUUUUAUUAAACUUGUCAUUGUGAAAAUUGUGAUAUCUCAAUUGCACGCGCAAACAAAAAGCUGAAGGAUAUUAUAGACAUUGCACAGCAAAAACAACAAUACAACACUCGCACAAUCCACAGAAUGCCAAACAACCCUAUCUUUUUACAAUUAAGAUUUUUGUUCAAUCCAACUUUUACAAAUCUGCAGUCUGCAAGCUGCUUUUUACAAGCUGAAAACAGUCAUGCCGUAAGGCAUGGAAAUUGUCAGUAUCCAAUUCACAUGUUCAUCCGUGUUCUCUAUUUUGUUUCAUUGUUCUCUAUUCAUUAUUUAGUUAUUACUUUUAGUUAUAUGUAAAGGGGAAAUUUAUCUCAUGCAAUUUCUUUUUGUGUUGGGGUGUUUAUCUCAAAAUGACCUAUUUAAUUUUAUUAGUUUCACACCAGCAUCUUUUAAUUGAUUUUAAUGUGCUCCAACUAACCAGGGAAGUAGACGUACUUUGCAGUUGGCAAGUGAAAUUUGAGUACUGCAGCUUUUUUUUAAUGAAACAGAAGGUACGCGCCCUACUGAUUAGUAUAUAUAUAUAUAUAUAUAUAUAUAUAUAUUAUGAAAAGGAAAAGUAAUAAAAGUUACAAACCCCAGAGGCAAAGAGGAAAAAAAAGGGAGAGAGAAGGGAGCAACAAACUAGACUGGGGAAGGAAGCAGCUAAGAAGAAAAAGGACGGGCUAGCUACAUUACAAGUUGUCUAGCCAUGAUUGCAUUUGGGGAAGGAGACUAGGCUUAGCUCUCAGUAGCAGCAAAGAGAAUUCUGAACUGAAUUUCCUCUAGCACCUUUCUACCGUAGGAUCAGUAUUAUUGAACAUCCAGUUGUUCCUUGUGGUCCAUAUACUCCAGGUCAUUAGGAUGAUAGCUUCCAUGAAGAAAGGAACUCCUAAUUGCUACCUGAAUCUUGACAUGGUCUGUAAAAUUGAUCUUGUUGUUGGUACUGUCACACCAAUGGAGGCCCAACAGGCUUUAGCAAAGUUACAGCGAAGAAACAGAUGAGAAGUUGUUUCCAAGCGUUGUAAGAUGCAAAGUUCACAGGUGAAAGAUUCCAGGUCCAUCCCUUCCCUUCUAAGCAGAUCUCUUGUAUUUACCCCAUCCUUGAUUAAGAGCUAGAAGAACACUUUGUGUUUCAUCUGACAUCUUAAUUUUCAGAUCCAUGGGAAAGUUGGGUGGGUGCUUCUGUGACCAAUAAUAUUCUUGUAUGCUUUCGCAGCAGAGAAGAUUGCAUUUCCCCAUUUGUAACCCCAAAGAUCAUUGCUGUCAUUCAUCUGGGUGCUUUCCACCAGAAGUGCUAGUUCCUGAAACUGCUGAUGCGCCUGAAUGGACAGAGGUAGGUGGAAAUUAUGGGAGGGGACGGUUGAGUUAUAAUUUGCCUGAAAGUGAUGUUGGUGUUUUUUGCAAAGGAGAAUAACUCCGGGUAUUUAAUCCUUGGGAUAUGAUCAUUCCAGUUGUCCUGGAGUGCUGCAGCUUUGUAGUCACUAUAUAAUUUAUCUUGUUGAGAGUUGUUUUACACAUCCAACAUAUGCUGAUUAUGUUAGGAUCUGAACUGUAACUCUCAUCGAGAGGAUGGCACUAGGAAGAGUUGGGGCAACUUUUUGAGUUUUCUUUCCACAAUACCAUGUCCAACCAAGGGUUGGGGAUACAUAUUUAUAGCUGGCCUAGCAGCCAACCAGCCAAGCAUCAAGGCAUAUGCUAGUCUAAGAGGCCUUUUUUGAUGCUAUCCUAUCUAGUCUAAGAUGCCUAGGACUGUCCUACCCUAAAAGUAGUCAACAAAAGUGGUGCUGCAGCAAGCAUAUGCUGCAGCCCCACUGUCCUCCAGUCAACAUAGCAGCUGCAGCACAAGGACACUGUCCUCCAGUCAACAUAGCAGCUGCAGCACAAGGACCAGCAGCUGCAGCACAAGGUACAACAGCUGCAGGUCAAGGACCAGCAGCUGCAGCACAAGGACCAGUAGCAAGAUAGGACCAGCAGCAAGACUUAUCCAGCAUUCUCCCCCUAAGUCUUGUGCAUCGUCUUGUGGGAAAGUUGGACCAUCCCGGUCCUGGAAUAGAGUUCAAGGAACUUGAUCCUCCCAAGGGGCUUGGUGAGUAGGUCCGCAAGCUGAUCCUUGAUGUUGAUGUAGCUCACCUUGAUGCUUCCUUCCUCCAAGCAGCCUCGGAUGAAGUGGUACCUCACCCGAAUGUGCUUGCUCCGCUCAUGGAAAACGGGGUUCUUUGCUAGGGCCAGAGCGGACUUGCUGUCCACCCUGAGCUCCACUGCUCUAGUGUCUCUGCCAAGGAGAUCACCGAGUAGUCGGGCAAGCCAAAGCGCCUGAGUCGAAGCAAUGGAGGCCGCUAUGUACUCGGCCUCGCAGCUGGACAGCGAUACCACCUGCUGCUUGACCGACUGCCAGCUAACGAGGCACUUGUCGAGGAAGAAGAGAAUUCCCGCUCGUGCUCUUGUUGGUGUCGAUGUCGCCGGCGUAGUCGCUAUCGCUAUACCCGACGAAGUGUGUCACCCCGGGACACCUCGGGUAGAAGAGAUCGUGGUCGAGGGUCCCCGCAACGUAGCGGACGAUCCUCUUCACGGCCUGCUAGUGCUCCGUCGUCGGUUGCUGCAUGAACCGACUGACGUAGCCGACGGAGAAAGCCAAGUCCGGUCGUGUGUGGGCGAGGUAGCGAAGGCUCCCCACAAGACGCCGGUACUGCGUAGCGUCUACCUCCUCCGUCGUGCUAUCGCAGCUCAGCUUCAACUUCUCCUCCAUCGGAGUGAGAGCUAGGUUGCAGUCGGUGAGCCCGGCUAGCUCCACGAUGCGCUUGGCGUAGGUGGUCUAUCGAAGCGUGAUCCCGGAGUCAUCCUGGUGCACCUCGAUCCCCAGGUAGAAGGAGAGAGACCCUAGGUCACUCAUCUGGAAGGUGGCCUUCAUUUCUUCCUUAAACGUAGCCACCUCCGCAGCCUUGGUGCCGAUGAUCACCAAGUCGUCGAUGUAGACACCCACCAGCAGGGCAUUUUCUCCAUUGCCCCGCCGGUAGAUGGCCGCCUCGUGCGGGCUUUGCUCGAAGCCCAUCCCUUUGACCGUGGAAUCCAACUUGGCAUUCCACGCCCUCGGUGCCUGCCGCAGGCCAUAGAGGGCCUUGCGCAAGCGCAGCACCUUGCCCUCCUUGCCGGGGAUCGCAAAACCCAGCGGCUGGUGCACGUAGACCUCCUCCUUCAAGUCACCGUUAAGAAACACCGACUUGACAUCCAUGUGAUGAAUGCGCCAGCCUUCCUAGGCGGCCAGCGCAAGGAGGACUCGCACGGACUCCAUCCGUGCCACGGGGGCGAAAGCAUCAUCGAAGUCGAUCCCCUCUUGCUGCACGAACCCGCGUGCCACCAAGCGAGCCUUGUGCUUGACGAUGGCACCGGCUUCAUCCCUCUUUAGCUUGAACACCCACUUAAGGGUGAUCGCACGGUGACCACGAGGGAGGUCAGCAAGCUCCCAGGUGCGGUUCUUCUCAACCGCGUCCAUCUCCGAUUGCAUCGUGGUGUGCCAUGCCGCGUGUCUCUCGGCCUCCGCGAAAGAUCGAGGUUCGCGGUCAUCGCACGCAAGGUGCAACUGUGCCUCCAGGUCGUGAGGCACCAGUCCCGGCACCGGUUGGUCGCCGAUGAGGUCUUCCAUCGUACGGUACCGCAACUGCUCGCCAUCGUGGUACGCGUCGACGCGCUCCUCGUCAUGAGAGAGCGGAGUAGCGAACUCCACCGGGCUGUACUCGACAUGAGCUGGUGUCGGAGUAGACGUGCCCGGAGGGGUGGCCGUUGGUGCUGGAGUAUGUGGCGUCGCCGGCUGUGGUGGUCCUGGCGAGAAUCUCAUCGCAGCCGAAGUCGCGGCUGGAGAGCGUGGCGCUGCCGGAGUAGCAGGCGUCGGAGUCGGUGGAGGUUUGGGGACUGGGGUAGGCACGCUCGGCGAAGAAGAGCCGCCUACUCCCCCAGCUCCCUCGAAGUGGACAUACUCGACAGUGAAGUCGUCGUACGUCGGAGUCGAACCGUCGUCCACCGCCUUGUCCCACGGCCAUCCUCGCCCUUCGUCGAACACAACAUCGCGCGCUGUGCGCACACGCUGUGUCUCCGGGUCGAGAAUGCGGUAGGUCUUCGAACCCUCCGCGUAGCCGAUGAACACUCCUGGAGUGCUCCUGUUGUCAAGCUUGCCGAUGUGGUCAAGCUCCUUGUCAAACACGAGGUAUCCGAAGACCCGCAGGUGGGACACCGCCAGCUUGCGCCCAUGCCAAGCCUCGUAUGGCGUCCUGCCAUCGAGCACCUUGGUGGGCGAGCGGUUGAGGAUAUAGACAGCCGUCACCACCGCCUCUCCCCAGAGGAUAGCCGGCAUCCCCCUCUGCUUGAGGAGGGCCAGAGUCAUCCCCACAACCGUCUAGUUGCGCCGCUCGACGAUGCUGUUCUAUUGUGAGCUAUAAGGCGCGGAGUAGUGGCGUUGAAUGCCCUCAUCAACGCAGUACGACGCGAAUUUAGCCGCCGUGAAUUCACCGCUGUUGUCGGUGCGCAGCACGCGCAGCUUGCGGCCGCACUCUGCCUCCGCAACCUCCCCCUUGCUGCCGAGGACCAUCACCCACAUGUAGCGGGAGAGGUCGUCGACAAGCAGCAAGAAGUAGCGUCGUCCUCCGGAUGUGGCCGGUGUCACCGGGCCACACAAGUCCCCGUGCACGAGCUCGAGCCACUCCUUGGCUCGGAAGCUCACCUGUUGGGGAAAGGGGAGCCGCCUCUGCUUUGUCAACACACAAACAUCGCAGAACUGCUCCACAUGAUCGAGACAUGGCAAGUCUCGCACCAUCUCCUUGGCACUGAGCCACUUCAGGGCCUCGAAAUGAAGGUGCCCGAAGGGCUCAUGCCACUGCCACGCCUUGUCAUCCCGAUAAGCAGCGAGGCAGAAGGGUUGUGCCACCUGCACAUUAAGGAUGUAGAGGUGAUUUGUGCCUCUGGUUACCUUGGCAAGAAGGUGACGAUGGCGGUCCCAAAUCCUCAUGACUCCAUCAUCGAUCACCAUGCGCGAACCGUUCUCUUCCAGCUGUCCCAGGCUGAUGAUAGAGUUCCUCAGCGCGGGGAUGUAGUACACUCCGGUGAGCAGCCAGUGCUCUCCAGACUCGGCGGUGAAGAUGACAGAGCCGACGCCCUUGAUCUCUAUGCCAGAGGCAUCCCCAAACUUGACGGUGCCUCGGACGCUAGAGUCAAGCUCGGUGAAGAACUCCCACCGACCGGUCAUGUGCUGGGUAGCGCCAGUGUCGAGGCACCACCCCUCAGUCUUAUCAUUGUUGGAGCCGUCGCCGAGGAAGGCGUGUGCCCUCGGUUCGUCAAGGUGGAGGAGAACCGCUGCGGCCGAUGCCGCUGGAGUUAGCUCGAUGCUUGCAUGUGCCAGGAGCAGAGCCGGCUCCUCCUCCUCCACUAGUGCAACGUGAGCCUGGCCGCGUCUUGGCUGUCGACAGUCCUUGGUCCAAUGGCCAAGCCUGCCACAGUUGCGGCACGUGUCGUCUCGUGGCGGCCUGUGCUCGCCGACGGCACCACCCUGGGCGCCUCCUCGCGCGCCGCCUUCGGCGCCUCAUCGCACCUUGGGCGCCUUGUGUGGCUUGCCGCGCCUGCGGCCGCCUGUCGAGGAAGAAGGCUCCCCUUUCUUCCGAUCACCCUGGCGGGCCUCCCACUGCUCCUGAGUGAAAUGGAGCUUCCCACCAAUGAUGACAGGCCCUGAGGGAGGCUAUGACUCAUCGCUGUCGACAACCUUGAGGCGACCUAUCGCCUCCUCGAUCGACAUCCUGGAGAGGUCCAGCAGAGACUCGAUCGAGUGAGCGAUCUGCUUGUACUUCUCGGGUAUGCAGCGGAGGAGCUUCUCGACAGCUCUCUCCUCGCCGUAGGUGUCGUCACCGUAAUGCACCAUCUUCUGCAACAAAGUGCUGAGACGGAGAGCAAAGUCAUCAACGUCCUCACCUGGCUUGAAGGCCAGGUUCUCCCAUUCCUUGCGAAGUGCUUGUAGUGUGGACUUGUGGGCGCGGUCUCUGCCGAUGCGUGCCGCAGCGAUGGCGUCCCAAGCCUCCUUGGCAGUCCGCUUCUAGGAAAGCGAGAAUUGCAUCUCGGGCAGGACUGCAGUGAUGAGGGCGUCCAGCGCCCGUCGAUCGUCGUUGUAGUCGACGUCACCGUACCAGAUUGCCUCCCAGAUGUGCCGCACCUGGAGCCUCACCCUCAUCACCGCGGCCCACUCGACGUAGUUGGUCUUGGUGAGGGUAGGCCACCCACCACCAGGGCCGACUUCCCUGACAACAGCCUGGGCCCCGUGGCGACCAUGACGGCGAUCCGGGGAGGGAGAGCUGCGCUGCCUAUAAGGGCCGCGCCCUUUGUCGACCCGGCCACCGCGCCGCCGAUCGAACUCCAUCUCUGCCUCCAACUGGGCUGCCCUCUCCCGCAAUCGCUGGACCUCCAGUGCGAGGUCCAUGUGCGGGUCGCCCUGGGAGUCGCGGUCACCAUGUCCGCCAGGAACACAGUCGUCGCGCGCGCCCCUGCCGGGAGCGCCGCCGGCACGUGCACGCCCGUCUGGGCUACCGCCACCACGCCCGCGGGGUUGCUGGGCUGCCCACUGCGCCGCCCGUUCCUGCGCCGCCUCCCUUGCUAGCACGAGCUCUACAUCGGUACCGCCAUCGGCAGAGGUAGCGCUGCUGAUGCUACCGCCACGUAGAGUCUCGAGCUCCGCUGCCGCCACACGUGCGGCAUCUGCCACCGCCGCUGCUUCCACUUCCGUCCUUGCUGCAGCCAGCUCCACCGCCGCCAGCCUCGACGCCCUUGCCGCCACCACAGCGGUCUCCGCCACUACUCGGGUACGCUCCUCUGCCGCAGUGAGCUUGGCCUCCUGCCGACGCCGCGCGCUUGAGGCGACCGAGUGCUGAGACUGUCCUACGGACAUAGCGCGCCACCGAGGGGCUGCAUGGGGAAGAGGCUGCUUCCGAUGAGCUGCCGCUCGUCUGCGUAGAGGGAGAGGAGUAAGCAGGGAUAGCCGGUGUUUCUGCUAUCGGCUGGGGAUGAAAGGUGGCUGGGGAGGGUUGUGAGCAGGAGAUGUUCAAGCUACAGGAUAGUACGGCUCUGAUACUAGUUGUUAGGAUCUGAACUGUAACUCUCAUCGAGAGGAUGGCACUAGGAAGAGUUGGGGCAAUUUUCUAGAUUUUUCUUUCCACAAUACCAUGUCCAACCAAGGGUUGGGGAUACAUAUUUAUAGCUGGCCUAGCAGCCAACCAGCCAAGCAUCAAGGCAUAUGCUAGUCUAAGAUGCCUUUUUUGAUGUUGUCCUAUCUAGUCUAAGAUGCCUAGGACUGUCCUACCCUAAAAGUAGUCAACAAAAGUGGUGCUGCAGCAAGCAUAUGCUGCAGCCCCAUUGUCCUCCAGUCAAUAUAGCAGCUGCAGCACAAGGACACUGUCCUCCUGUCAACAUAGCAGCUGCAGCACAAGGACCAGCAGCUGCAGCACAAGGUACAACAGCUGCAGGACAAGGACCAACAGCCGCAGCACAAGGACCUGCAGCAAGACAGGACCUGCAGCAAGACUUAUCCAGCAGAUUAUUACACUACCAUCAUUUUUUUGAACUAAGUGACCAAAACUGCCAGUUCAUGAAGUUUAUUCUUUUGUGUUAUAAGGCAAUAUUUGGCCUGAAGAUAAAUUUUAGUACGGGUGAUAUUGUGUUUGAGGAGAAACUGGUGGCCUCGCUGGCAGCUGUUUUGCACUGGCCCAUGCCCAAGAAGGGCCUGCCAUAAUUGGACGAUGAGUUCAUGAGCAACCUGGCAUAGGGGUAGAAGGCUCACAACUCGCCUGUGUUGUCGACCAUAGCUGCCUCUUUCAGUAGUGUUGGUGUUCUGUUUGUCUGCAGUCUGCUGAAGGGUGUGUGUUGUUUUAGUCUAGUCGACUAUGUUGGUACUUGGUAGUUGAGCUAGGUUCUGGGAGGGUCGAGAAAUUGUCGGCAUAACCCCGGCAUGACAGUGGUCUAGUCAAGCUUUUCUAUAAAGCUGUGCAAUAAUGGUCUUUGAUAAAACAAUAUUGCCAUUUCCGUUUCAGAGAUGGACAAGUCUAGCUAUCUUGUGACCUUUGCUAUAGGCAGCAGGAAAAAAAAACUUUUUUAUUCAACUUGCACCAAACAGACGCGCGUUAAUUACACACUGCUUAAUGUGGGCAGCAGCAAUCCCAUUUACCAUUCCGUCUCUUAAUACAGAUGGCACGAUAGCCAUCAAAGCCGUUUGCUCCGCACAUCCAUUUGCAGUCUUCAGUCAAGCAGUAUACGUCAUUGUAGGGGUAGCACGUUUUCUUUGUCCAUGGCCACCACCACAACGGCCGUGACGGCGGUCGUGGAGCCACCGUCGCUCGCCGUGGUGGGGGAGAAUGGCGGUGCCGGGGCGCCUGGGGCUGGGGCUGGGGCUGGUCUUGGCCUACAUACAAAUGCAACGCAAUAUGCAAUAAUUAAAUCACGUUGAUUUGUUGUUAGCAACCUGAAUAUUUAAAAAACAAAAUAAUGUGAAGUAGUGAUACCCACCUUGGCAUGAUGGGGAGGUUGAAGAUAUGAUCGUAAGGAUCAGGAAAACAACAGCUGUAAGGUAAAUGGCUCUCUUAGUAUUGCAUCUGGCGAGGGCCAUGAGAUGAGAUGAGAGAAGACUCUCCCUUAGUAUUGCGUUGAGAGAGAGGUGUGCAAGUGUUUAUAUAGAAGUACAAUAAAAUCUCAAGCUAUCAUAGUAUCUCAAGGAUAUUUUCCCCUGAGGCAUGAUAUCCUCUUAGCUAGUAGUAGGUUCAAAUGAACUUGUGAGUAUAUAUAGUAUUUCACAAGCCCAAAGAUCUGCAUUCUCAAUUGUCUCAUUAUUUUAUUCAGUGUUGUAUUAAUAAUUGUUUGGUUUCUGAGGAACACAAAUUAAAUACAGUGACACCUUUCCAACAUCUAACACCCUGAUUUCAUUUUGUUUCAAGUUCUAAAAAAAUCUUAUUUUCUUCUUAAAGCAAGGAGUCUUUCAUUAAAACAAAGCAGUUUCUAUCUACAAUGGUCAUUGGGGAGUAGGAGACAGACAGCAGCGCACAAAACCUUUAAUCCCAAUGGAUAGCAAGUGAUGCCUGACAUGGGUUGCCCAUGUCAAUAUAUAUGGGCCCACAUGUGCACUGAUCCAUUAGCAAAGCUGAAACAUCAUUAAGACCCAGGAGUAAAGAACCCAGCCCCAAGUGCACAAGGCUAUCCACAAAAUAACCUUUAUUCUUUAUUAAGAAUUUGUCUUACAGGGUGAACGAAUUUCCCACCGUCACACGUGCACACAACAACAAGAACAACAUUUCGCAAAAAAGAAAUAAGAGCAACAACCCACUCAAAAAAAGAAGAAGAACAGCAACAAUUGCUUCAUGUUUACACAAACGAUUAAUUGCAUGCCUUGCGAUUGCUCAACUCAUCGUACGGCUGCUGCCUGACAGCUAUAGGAGUCCACAGCAAAGCUAGUGCCCAGCAGCUGCUGCGGUCUUGGUGAGGCCCCAGCAGUGCAGGACGCUGCCGGCGACGUCGAAGAAGGCGAGGUGGGCCUCCGUCUUGCUCAGCCGCAUCGACAUGAACCCCUGCCCGUCGUAGAGGAACUCCACCUUGUCCGGGGUCGCCUUGAACUUGCCAGCCCACGCCUUCGACCCGCCCCCACUAGUCAGGAACUGAAGAGGACUGCAAUAUUUUUUUUUUGGAGGUUUCAGAACAUACAGAUCAACGAAAAACUUCCGAAAGUUCUAGAACCAUGUCUCUCUCUCUCUGUCUCUGAUGUAAACUACUGAUGUAUGCUAACCUGUCUCUGCUGGUGAUGCGCUGCAGGCAGUGGUCAUGGCCGUUCACGUACAUGUCGGCGCCAUGGGCCUGCGUUGCAUCGUCAUCGUGAAGCAAAUCAGUUUCAGAGUUACUGGACACUACUACUGGUAAAUUGUUUUGAUUGAAUGCCGAUAAGAGAAGACGAGAUGUCAAUGCCUUGAUGACUGGGAGAAGUAACUCCUCGAGCUCAGUGUUGUUCCCAUGCCCACAGCCGCUGCUGAUGGGGUGGUGGCCGACGACGAUCUUCCAGGGGGCCUUGGAUUGCGUCAGAGCGUACUCCAGGUUCUGGCAAAGAUUUCAGCAAUUUCAUAAUCAUCAGAGGAGGCAAAAUGCUCACCAGAUGACAUGAGUCAUCUAUGUUGGUAUACUGCAAUGGUGGAUACCUUGAGGAGAUUUGUGAUGUAGGUGUCCCGAGGAGCAACCCCUCUCCAAUCGAACUUGGUGUUGUUCCAGUAGUGGAGGAUGAACGGCGUCGUGUCGACGAGGAAGAAAUCCGCAAUUCCUUCAUUCGUUGAAAAAAAAAAGAAUAAACAUAGGUAAAAGUUUGUAUUAGAAAGAGUAGAUUAUACCCCUUUCCUUGUAAAGUUAUGACAGUAGAAAGGUUUUUGACUAGGCAGUUAUUAGUGUGCAAGAAUGCAUCAGUGGUCCCAGAGUACUUCAUUUGAUUACCUGAGUUGACGAUGAAGGACUUUGCGAUGACGGUGUACCGGCUGUCCACGUUGCGAAUGGCAGGGUCCAGCUGGGCGAGCGCAUUGCCCGUGUAGUCAUGGUUGCCAAGGACUUCAUAUUGAUGUCAAAGACACAGCAGGAUUAGUCAUCAUCAUCAGUCUUCUUCAGUGUUCAGAACAUGUACAAGUAGGAUGUAUACUAGCUGUUGCAUUACCGAGAUACCAAGGCUUCUGGAGGCCCUUGGCAGUGUAGAUGUUGGAGAAGGACUCCUUGAAGAGUGGGUCGCUGGUGUUGGCGAUGCCGUCAUCGUAGAUGUUGUCGCCGGUCGAGAUGACGAAGUCGAUGUCCAUCUUCUCCCCCACUACUCCCAUCUGCACAGUGGGAACAAUAAACCUGAUUCAAGGUGUGUUUGGUUGCAUGCACCAGUUGAUGCAUGCAUGGAUGAUCCUGGAUGGUAGGGUUCAACCAAUUUGCUUGUACCAUAUGGUUUACUUCUAUUAGUAGAAUAAUAUAUUAAGUGGGAUUGCUUCAUCCUCGAUGGGUUGGUACGAUUCACCCAACCAAAUAAAAGGAUCAUUUUUUUUGAACCAUUCCAUACAUGAAUCAAAUAAUACAACCAACCAAACACACCCUCAGUGAUCUGUUUAGGCUCAGGAGAAGGACCAGCGUGUGCAGCAGCGCUAAUAACAUUGGACGGUACGUAAUGUAAUGACGUGUUGCUCGUUAGUUAGAAUGCAAUAAUUGAGUUUAUUUGCAUCUGUCUUAGGUCAUUACUGCUUCAACCGAAGAACAGUGUGAUCGUACCAAGUGGAUAACUCAAUCUAUCCACUUUCGGCUAGUUAUGAACGAGGAGCCAUGACCACCAUGCAUAUGGCAAGAACUUACUGGGGGACCAUGCAUGUGUAUAAGAGCCUCCAUCAUAUCAUAUCAUCGCUCGACGAAAUGUGGCAUAUUCAAAAAAGCCAUAUCUUUCUGUUUUCAUUGGACUAAUUUAAGUACCAUGACCCAAAACAUGCUCUCGGAACCUACAAACUGUUGAUAAAUUUCGUGUAAACUUAGGGAUCACUUAAAUCAAAACAAAGUGUAAACCAAAUGAUUAGAGGCCGGAUCCUACAAAGCUCUUGUAAUUUUUGGCUAUAUAUAUCCAAGUGUGGAUAUAGAGGUCGGAUGUUUGUCCAUCAUUAAAAAAUGAUCGCUGAGGUAUAUGAAUCCAGCUGGAAGCCAAGAUGGCGUUUUUUGACUGAGCCAGCGGCUAGAGUGGUGCUAGAGAGCUAGAUGACUAGGCCUACUGUUCGGGUUGUCGGUCAUUAGACUAGAGUUUAGGGAAACUGGACCAUUGUAAACACAACUCGCCUAUUUCGUUCAUGCAUCACUUUAUAAUUUGAAUAAAAAAAAUAUGGCACUUCCUCUGACCCAAUAAGUUGAUCCGUAGCAAAAAAAAAAAAUUGUCCCCACAAAGAGUUGAUUUUUAGCACGUCCACACUAAGUGGCCGCUUUAACUCUUUCCCGAAACGCUAUGCAUGUGUGUGUAUUUAGCUUGGUUUCUAGAUUUUUUUAAUUAAUUUCACCACAUGCAUUGUUCUAGGUGAUCGAACAACAAUUAAAUUGAGCUUCGGUGACGAAAUAGACACCUAAAAACAGAGUGGCCUUAAAGGAGUAUCUGAUUAAUGAAGGGCAAAUAUAUCCUCUCUUCAAUAUGCUAAUCUAUCUGAAACUUUCUAGAAAUCAACUUAUUUUGGGACAGGAAAGAGUUAAUGCAACAAACAACCGUGGCGAAGAAAAUGGACCCCCACAGUCCUACUCGUGUGCUACUAGAAAUUUGCACACCCUCUAGGCACUCUGGUGGCCUCGGCCCUUUGAUUUUUUUUUUCACAUCCAUAUUAAUUUUGUUGCAAAUGAGAAUUAACAAUAGCACCAACUAUGGUUCUUUUACUAUCGAUCAUGCGAAAGUUUACCAAUUUCUUGAUCAAUUAUUUUUGCUCACCAUCAAAGUCCCCCCCAUAUAGCUGAUUUUUUUUGUAAUACACAAUGAAGAUUUUUUUUUUUUGGCUAGCUCAAGGAACCGAAUCAACACGCACGUGCACACACACAACCCACACUGAGAGGAAACUAAGUGGAGGCACAAAUGGCUCAUGUAUGCUCACUGAACACAGAUGCUUAUCUGUGUGAUUGGUAGGGUGCACUAGCGGGAGCCUGGCUAAGAUGAGUAGCUCAUGGCCAGCCCAAGCCUGGCUUACGCGGUCAUUUUGGCCCGUGCUUGGUUCGAUGCUCUGUGAAGCUUGCCUUGGGUGUGGUGGUGAUUGGUUGGGUGCGUUACAAGAAUCGGGUUACCUUGUUUUUGCUUAGGUGAGCUUACCCACGGGCUCCUGCACCUUGCGCAUGGAGAUGACUGACAAGUCCUCCGAUUCCACCAAAUGCAACUCCGAUUCCACCGAAUCCGGCCACGAUUUGCAUCUUGGGGAGAGCUCGAUUUGAUAAUAUAUUUCACCGAACUCCGAUUCCAGCUUGUGCUGGUCGGUUGAGGCGCAGGAGAGCAGGAGCGGCGUGAAGUGGAAGGGGAGCUGGAUGGAGCGGGGGAAGGCGCGGAGGCGGCAGCCGGUGCAGAGGAGUGUGUCGCAGUCGGCGCCGGCACCGGUGAUGCGGACCUCCAGCGGGCGCCCGACGACGCCGGCCGCGCCGCGGCGGACACCAGGCUCGGGGCGACGCGGCCGCCGGCGGCGGCGACCCUGGCGUCCGCACGGAGCGCGAGCACGCAGGUGAGGUGGUCGGCGGCGGCGACGCUCGGGAACGGCGCGACAGGAGGACACCCGCGGCGCGGCGCUCGGAGGCGAGAUCCCCGCGCUGCAGCAGGUCGGAGGAGGAGUGCUCGAGUGCGGCAGCGUGAGGAGGUAGGCGACGCGUCAGACCUUAGAAGGUGAGCGGAACGAGCAACUUGGCCCCGUGAGGCGCUAGCCAGGUUGCACAAGCGGUAACGAGCUUGAUCUGCGUUUCCAGGUACGCGCCGGACCGACCGGUCUUUUUGCAAAUCUGGCUAACUCACUAUGCAGCCUUCCAAACAUGGAUGGGCUGCAUUACACAAGCCUGGGUAGAGGCAAUGCACCCUACCAAUCAUUACCUAUGUGUAUGCGCAACACCACCGAAUCAAGAUCCUAGCGGUCCUGGUGGGUUGUAUACCAAUGAAAUGGCACAAGCUAUCUAGCUAAUAAUCAUCUUUAGACGAUGUUUUCUAUCCAUGUAGGGGGAAAAUUCACUUUGCAAUAAGGCAAAUCAUAUUAUUUUUACUUUUAACAGUUUUCGAUAUGGAACUUUGACCAUUACUUCCGUAAAUUAUUUGCUAGCUAGUAAUAGAAUUAUAACAAGAGGAAAUACACAAACAAGCUGAGUUUUCGUCUAGCUGAUAUGUACUACAUGGUUUUACUCUUUUAGAUGUAGUGACUAAGCUAGCUGUAGCAUCAUAUAAAGUUCAAUCAUCAGUAAUCAAGUUGCAGUGACUGCAGCUAGCUGCAGCUGUGGUUCGAGAUGCACGGGUUAAUAACGUCCUUACCGAAAGCGAAUCGAGCGAGACAGACUGAGGGUUUACAUGAGCAUGGACGCAUCAAUGCAUGGCUACAGAGCUGAGGGUUCUACGGCUGGUUUUACCUGCUGGGCAACCAAGGUCUGGUUGAACUGCCCGCGCCGCCCCCAGUCACCGACGACGAGGAUGGCGAGCGACCCGUCGGCCUUCGGCGGGUGCUCCAGCCGUGGCAGUGCCGCCGCCACCUGAAGCAACGCCACCACCGCACCCAAAGCGACGAGCAUGAUCCCAACCCGAGCCAUGGCACUCCAACACUGGUGGCAAAGGCGAAGCUAGCUCUAGUGUUCGUGUGCGUGAGUGUCCAAAGCGUGAAGAGCUCCCGUUCAUUUAUAGUCUUGUUUUGGCGCGAGACCAAUAAUUCGAGGUGGGCCCAGCUUGUCGGCUGAUCUGUGUGCGGCUGCCACGUGGGCCCGGGGCGCCGGUUGGAUCGGAGGCUAAUAACCGUGUGAUGGGGUAGGGUUUGGCUGGUGAGCGUACGUGGUCGUUGACAGCGCAUGUACUGCUCGCGGCAUUCAAGGACGGUUGGUGCGUCAGCAACUGAAACACGGAUAAGCGUCGUGCAUGAUAGGCGAUUAACAGGAGCAGAAAAAUGAUUUUUGCUUGCGAUUAACGUUGAUGCGGUGAGGGAUCCGUUAUCAUCUUUAGUGAGAUGGGGAUAUGUGCAAGGGCAGAAGUUAUUAAAAGUUGGGUUUUGUGGGAGACAGAGAGAGUGCAUAUGCCAUCUCCAGUCACCAGUAGAGAACUCGGUAUUAAUCCCGAUUGGUAGGAUGCAAAUCUCCUGAAAAUCCAUCCGGGAUAAACCAACAGGAACAAAAGGGGGUCUUUUAUCUCGGGUCACUCAACCGGGACUAAAGAUCCCCUUUUAUCCCGGUUGGUAAUACCAACCGGGAUAAAAUAGGGCACCAUGCCAGGCGCUGCAAAAAAAAAUCCUGGGAGGGCCCCCACGUCGCAAGUCACAAGUCACGCGAUUUAGCUUCCUUGCCAUCCCACCUACACAGCACAUCUGACUAUGUAGGGGAUGCAAUCCUUUUAUAUUAACUCGUGGGGGACCCUUUUAUCCUGGUUGGAGUUCGAGAGAUUUAGUCCUCUUUUAGCCACCCCGUUAGGGAUCCUUUUAUCCCAGUUUGUAAUACCAACCGGGAUAAAAGAGGGUCUUUUAUCCCAGUUGGUAUUACAAACCGGGAUAAAAGGCUCUCGACCCUUUUAUCCCGGGGAUCUUUUUGAUAGGACAUCGCAGGUUCGGUCGGUGGAGUUUGCGCAAGGCAGCGACGCGCAGUGCCGAGUCCGGUCGCCGGUGAGGUGGCGGUGGUGCUUCCCGCCGCUACUGCGCAACCUAGAUCGGUAGGUGUGUCGGUGGGGCGGCUGGCUGUGGCGAACCUCGUGAGCCGAGCCGGGUCCCCCACCCUGUUUAUAUAGCGCAGUGCGACAGGGACCCACCACCCAUUGCUAGGGUGAGCGCCCCCGAUCAGGGCGCUGAUCAAGGUCCCGAUGGGCCUUUGGGCCCAUUGGGAAGGAGAUCAAUCUAACAUUCUCCCCCUUGAUCUCAUCAUUUACUUUUAGCUUUACACUUUUCACUUUUAUUCGUUUCAUCGUAGAUUAAUAUGUAGAGCAUGUUUCAUCAUCACAGCUUAAUUGCCGAUAGAAUCAACAGCUACAACACACCUCUCUAUUUUGAAACAAUUCUAUUUCUUUUGGGCCUUAUCCAAUCCAGGAAUCAUAGGCUUUCCCUUAAACCCAUGCCGGCUAAGUGUUCUCUGAACACAUUGGGAGGUAAGCCUUUCGUGAGCGGAUCCGCAAGCAUAUCUUUUGUUCUUAUAUGCUCGAGACUUAUAGUGUGAUCCUGGAUUCUGUCUUUCACAACAUAAAACUUUAUCUCAAUGGCUUUGGAAGCAUUGCUUGAUUUGUUGUUGUGAGCAUAGAAUACUGCUGGUUCAUUGUCGCAGUACAUCUUUAGUGGUCUGUGAAUACAGUCAAUCACUCUCAAUCCGGGUAUAAAUUUCUUUAGCCACAUUGCCUGCCCUGUGGCCUCAUGACAUGCUAUGAAUUCUGCAUGCAUCGUUGAUGACGCAGUUACUUUCUGUUUUGAGCUUCUCCAUGAGAUAGCUCCUCCUGCGAGAGUGAAUACGUAUCCAGACGUGGAUUUUCUAUCAUCUUUGUCUCCCGCAAAGUCUGCAUCUGAAUACCCUUUUAUCUCUAGGGAAUCAGAUCUCUUAUAUGUAAGCAUGAGUUCUUUUGUGCCUUGCGCGUAGCGCAACGCCUUCUUUACCAUCUUCCAGUGUUCUAUACCUGGAUUACUUUGAUAUCUACCAAGAACCCCGGUGACAAAAGCUAAGUCAGGGCGAGUGCACACUUGGGCAUACUGUAAGCUUCCGACAGCUGAAGCAUAUGGAACCGCUUUCAUUUGAUCGAUCUCGUACUGGUUCCUGGGACAUUGAAAAUUCUCAAAACUGUCGCCCUUGACUAUAGGAGCAGGUGUGGCCUUACUCGCAUGCAUAUUGUACUUCUUUAGAACCUUUUCUAAAUAUGCCCUUUGCGAUAAUCCAAGGACCCCAUUCAAUCUAUCUCGGUGAAUUUCUAUGCCCAAAACAUAUGUUGCUUCACCAAGAUCCUUCAUAUCGAAGUUUGAGGACAAGAACUUAUUUGUCUCUUGCAGUAGACUGAUAUCACUGCUUGCAAGUAAAAUAUCAUCCACAUACAGGAUUAGGAAAAUGUAUUUCCCAUUUUUGAACUUUGCAUAGACACAAUUGUCCUCUAUAUUCUCUUGAAACCCAAAUUUCUUUAUUAUAUCAUUAAACUUUAGAUACCACUGUCUAGAGGCCUGCUUUAAUCCGUAAAUGGAUUUCUUUAGACGACAUCCCAUAUUCUCUUUGUCUUCCAUGACAAAACCCUUUGGUUGUUUCAUGUAGACAUUUUCUUCUAAAUCCCCAUUUAGAAAUGUCGUCUUUACAUCCAUCUGAUGUAACUCUAAAUCAAAAUGUGCAACUAGUGCCAUUAUGAUUCUGAAGGAGUCUUUACAUGAGACAGGAGAAAAAGUCUCAUUAUAAUCUAUUCCUUCUCUUUGUGUAAAACCUUUUGCCACAAGUCUCGCCUUAUACCUUUCUAUAUUCCCUUUGGAGUCACGUUUAGUCUUGUAGACCCAUUUACAACCUACUGUUUUGGCUCCUUUAGGAAUCUCCUCAAGUUCCCAAACAUUGUUGGAACUCAUCGAUUUCAUCUCAUCUUCCAUGGCCUCUAGCCACUUCGAUGAGUGAACACUUUUCAUGGCUUCCUCAUAUGAAGUGGGAUCACCUUCUAUAUGAACUUCUUCUGUAUUAUAAACUUUAUAACAAUCAGGGAUAGCUGAUUUUCUGACCCUUUGAGACCUUCUAGGCCCCUCACUUUCGGGCACAUUCUGUGCCUCUGCUUGUGGCACACUAUUCAGAGGUGGCUGCUGCAACUCUUCCUCGUGUGUAAUGAUGGGUUCAGUUGGCUCCUGAAGGACAGGUUCCAAAACUUCACUCAUCGUUUCCACUGGUGGAAUCACAGCAGGUGCCUGCACCACAAUAUCAGGGACUGUAGCGGGUGCUUGCACCACGACCUCAGGAACUAUUGGUGCGGGAAUAAUAGGUAGUGAGAAGUAUGGUUCCUGAAUCAUCAGAUUAGGUGCACACACCCGCUUCUCCUCAAGAUCAAUCUUUCGAGCUACCAUGCUCCCCCUCACCAUCUCAUCCUCUAAGAAAAUCGCCUGUCUCGUUUCUACAAACUUUGUAUAUCUGCCUGGACAGUAGAAACGAAAACCCUUUGAUUUUUCCGGAUAGCCAAUGAAGUGGCAACUUACUAUUUUGGGAUCUAGUUUCCCGAUGUUUGGGUUAAAUACUUUGGCCUCAGCUGGGCUCCCCCACACACGCAGGUGGUUUAGUGAGGGUACUCUUCCUGUCCAUAGUUCGUACGGUGUUUUGGGCACCGAUUUACUUGGCACUCUAUUUAGAAUGUGAAUGGCGGUCUUCAGCGCCUCCAUCCACAGUCCCAAUGGUAAGGUGGAAUAGCUCAUCAUGCUGCGCACCAUAUCCAUCAGUGUACGGUUACGCCUUUCAGCUACUCCAUUUUGCUGAGGCUCGCCCAGCAUCGAAUACUGGGCUACUAUGCCAUUUUCCUGCAAAAACCUUGCAAAAGGUCCAGGAACUUGGCCAAAUGGGGUAUGUCGACCAUAGUACUCCCCCCCACGGUCGGAUCUUACUAUUUUGAUUCUUUUGUUAUGCUGAUUUUCAACUUCAGCUUUAAAUAUCUUAAAUUUAUCCAACGCUUCUGAUCUUUCUUUGAUUGGAUAAAUGUAACCAUAACGGGAGUAAUCAUCUGUGAAUGUUAUGAACAAGUCAUAGCCAUCCACGCUUUUCACAGGAAAAGGUCCACAAAUAUCAGUGUGGAUUAUCUCUAAAACUCCUGUGCUACGUUUAGCGCCUUUUUUAAUUUGCUUUACAAAUUUUCCUUUAAUGCAAUCAACGCAUUGUUCUAAGUCUGAGAACUCUAAUUGAGGAAGAAUUUCAUUCUUAACUAGUCUUUCUAUUCUCCCCCUCGAAAUAUGGCCUAAACGACAGUGCCAUAAUUUCGACGAUAUUUCAUGAGUUCUCUUUCUUUUCUUUGUUUCUUUCUCUGACGAGGAUACAUUCAUAUUCACAUCACACACAGAAUUUACUUUUUCACGCAAUGAUAAUAAAUACAACUCAUUGUGAAGGAUGGCAACACCAACACAUGCAUUAUCGAACCAAAUGGCACACUUUCCAUUUCCAAAAUGACAUUCAUAACCAUCAUGGUCCAAACGUGAAAUACUUAUCAAGUUUCUGUGUAAUGAAGGAACAUAAAGCACAUCUCUAAGUACAAGCAUGAAACCAUCAACUAGCUCUAGAGAGACAUCGCCAACAGCUUCAACUUCUGCUUGGACUCCAUUUGCGACUUCAACGCAUCUUUCGCUUCUUUGCGUAGUCCUCGUCGAACGGAAUCCCUGUAAAGAAUUUGCAACAUGAACAGUUGCACCUGAGUCAAUCCACCAAGUAGAUUUCGAAUACUGUGUAUACAAAGAUUCAUUUACAAAAGAAAUAGUAUUCUCACCUCUUUUUGCCAUUAUUGACUUUAACCAGUCGGGACAGUCUUUCUUGAAGUGCCCCUUUUUCUUGCAGUGUAGACAUUGAUCUUUGUCUACUGUGAGAGGCUUUUGGUGAUUCUGCUGCAUAGGAGCUUUUCCUCGUGCCUUGAAAGAGGGGUUAGCAAUCUUUUUCCUGUUAUCCUUCACAUAGUGCAAUGAGCCACCAUAUGAGGAUCUAAGUCUAUCCUCUUCCUGCACGCACAUGGCUAUCAUUUUUUCCAUGUCCCACUGUUCUGGUUGCAUGUUAUAAUUGACAACAAAAGUGUCAAACUCUUUAGGCAGAGAAGCAAAAACCAAAUGAAUAAUGUGCCCAGGCUUGAGCUCAAGAUCCAUAGGCUUCAACUGUGCUGCCAAGUUAUACAUCCUCAUGAUGUGAUCUCUUAUGCUAGUCCCUCCUCCAUUGUACCUCUCUGUGGCCAGCUGCUUGAACAGCUGGGUAGCAUAUAUCUUUGAGGAACCAGUGAACUGAUUCCUUAUCUUGUUGAGGUACUCGGAGACGGAGUCACACUCUGCGAUCGAGCCCAAAAUGGCAGGCUCAAUCGUAUUCUUUACCAAAGCCAUACAUUUCUUGUUGGCAGUGGUCCACUGUUUGUUUUCAAGGGUGUAUGCCAACUCCAGUGGAGCAUAGUCCCUUUCCUUUUGCUGCCAUGCAGCAUCAUCAUCACCGUCAGCCCUCACUGGCUUCUAUGGAGCUUGUGGCCGCGGUGUGGUCAGCACCCAGUCAACUUCUCCACAAACGAAGGAGAACUCAAUUUUCUUCCUCCAUUCUGUAUAGUUGUUGCCUUUCAAAAUGGGUAUCUCUUUGAGACAAGCCAUUAAGUUGAAUGAUCCUAAAAUUUACAAUGCAUAAGUGAGAUCAUAACAACAAUUGCAUGAUUUAUCUCCAACGUUGGUCAAAAAAAUAAAACAUGCAACUGUUGAUGCAAUUUAAAACUAUAUCACCGUUGGGCAGAAAUAGAAAUAAAAGCAUCAGAAGAACUUUUUAAAUCAUGAUACAGUUAUUAACAACGUUGGUCAGAAAAGAACAGCACCAUGAUCUAAUUAACUUUAUCAUGCUCUCACAAAAUUUAAUUGUCUCGUUGGUUCAAAUUAAAUUUAAAUGGAGCAAUAAAUAUGACUUUUGCAGCGGAAAUUGUGAAAUAAAUCUAUUUCAGAAGCAAAACACUGUACAAACUUUAUUAAUCUCUAAUACAAAUUAUCCCGUUGGUUCAAAUUAGAUUAGAGACUAAAACUAUGCAAAAAACAUCAACUAAAUGCUUCUGGAAAUAGAAAAAACUAUUUAUCAGACGUUACUGUGCAAAUCGCGAAUUUCGGCCCAGCCGCGAAAACGGCCCAUAGUCCAUUCCUGCGCGCGGCCCGUAUACGCGACGCCAUCGGCCCGCUAACGUGGCCCACGAAAACUGCCCGGCGCUCGGCCUCCCGCGCAGCCGCGGUUAGCAGGCCGCAACCUGGGCUUGGGCCGCGAAAGCAGCCUGCUGCCGCGUCCCGCCUGGGCCGAAACUGGCCCGGACGAUCUCGACCGCCCGUCCAAAUCCGACGGUCAGGCGUCAAUCGCGGUGGAUCAAAAACCGGCCGACGGCCGACCCCUGGAAACCCUAGCUCAUUUCCUUCUUUCCCCCGUGAGCGCCCGCCGUGGCGGCGGCGGCGGGGCCGUCUCUCCCGCGCCCGGCGAUGGCCGGCAGCGGCGGUGGAGGGAUGGCCCCGCCGGUGCAUGGCCGCGGCAGCCCCCUCCCCAUUCUUUUCUAGCCUCCCCCCUUCCUCCCUCCGAAACUCCGAAAAGUCGAGAUCCAGAGGGCCAUGGCGACCAUGGAGAAGGGCCGGCGCCACCGCGGGUCCCCUCGCCGGCGCGCGCGUCCACCCCGAGGGUUGGGCGCGCCGCCGUCGAGCGGUCCUUUGGUGGUGCUAUUGCGCCCCCCCCCCCCCCCCCCAAACCCCGAGCGGAUGCGCCGGCGGUUUCGGGUGGACUUGUUCCCCGGCGAGCCCCGAGGCUCGGCCGGCCUUUGCCACUCGCCGUCGGUGGACGUGCGGCGGUGAGGGCGACAGCAGGUAAGUCUCCCCGCAUCCCUCUUUUCUUUAGAUCUAGGGUUAGGGUUAGGGUUUCAAGUUUCUGUUUCUUUUCUAUCUUCUUCUUUUUCUCGAUCUACUUCUUUUCCCGAUCUAGAAGGGCUUCUAGGAGGUGUCUGAUACCAUUGAUAGGACCUAGCCUAGGAUCUCUAGAUGCACAUCUAGUCGGGAUCGUGAGAGAGAUGAGGGACAUGGUGUUCCUGGUGUGUGUGCCGAGAGUGAGAGAGAGAGAUAGGGAUACCUUCACCCCUAGAGGUGGGAGCAGCAGAGCUGCUGGCCAUCGCAGGUUCGGUCGGUGGAGUCUGCGCAAGGCAGCGACGCGCAGUGCCGAGUCCGGUCGCCGGUGAGGUGGUGGUGGUGCUUCCCGCCGCUACUGCGCAACCUAGAUCGGUAGGUGUGUCAGUGGGGCGGCUGGCUGCGGCGAACCUCGUGAGCCGAGCCGGGUCCCCCACCCUGUUUAUAUAGCGCAGUGCGACAGGGGCCCACCACCCAUUGCUAGGGUGAGCGCCCCCGAUCAGGGCGCUGAUCAAGGUCCCGAUGGGCCUUUGGGCCCAUUGGGAAGGAGAUCAAUCUAACACUUUUAUCCCGGUUGGUGUUUCAAACCGGGAUAAAAGGCCUCUUAGGAUCUUUUUUCUCCACUAGCCUUUGCAACCGGGAUAAAAGGUCCCGCUUGGUGAGCCCCCCACCAGUGACUGAGCUUUAGUCCCGGUUGGUGAACCUUUUGUCCCGGGCCAACUUUAAACCGGGAUAAAAUGGGGCGCAUGGAAGGUGAGUUCUCUACUAGUGAGUGAAUGUAUGGCAACGAUUGUUACUACUAUAGAAGGUUGUUCGAGUGGCCAUGUAAUGGAUCUUGCCUUGCAUAUUUUAUAUGGAACCUUCCCUGGGCUAUAUUCAAUGAGGGAUCCUAGGCAAGAAAAAUAGGAUCAACGGAGUCAUGGAUGUGUAAUACAAAAUGGAUGUUUUUUAAUAAAAAAAUUAGGCCUGUGUGAUGCUCAAAGAUGCACGUUGUAGAUUUACCAUCAAACCGUCUCGGUACACUUUAGUUACAGAUUUUUACCACUUUAUACAACUCAAAGUUCUUUUAUAUUCAAAGUUUUUUCAGGGAGCGACUCAUCGCAAUGCCGCUAGUCAAGCCCCCGGCGGCCCCUCCCCCGCUGCCACCGUGGGUGCCUCCUGCUCCGGCGGUGGCAGGUCCCGAGCCAUAGCAACAGCAUGCCCAGGGUCUUCUCUUUUCCUUCUCUCUUCAGGGGUUUUUGGUGCUUCUCCUCUGCAUGGAGCCUCCGGCCGAUCUCCCCAAUGUGUUUGCCCCUACUCCUGGGCUCGCUUGGGGCUACGGCCAGGUGCCGAAUCUAGCCUCUGGUGGCUCAAUCUGGCUGCUCGGCGCCAUCUACUUCUUCCUCCUUGUGUCUUCUCCCUUCCCCGCUUCCGACCUCCUCCGCUUCUCUGUGACUGUGCGGCGUUGUGGUCGGGCAGGUGGAGGGCCGGUGGCCGCCUCUGGAUGCUAGCGGUGUGGGGGCAUGCUAGCUGCGGAUCUUGGUUGCCGGUGUGGCUGCAACCUUCGAUCUUGCGCGGCCCGUGUUGCUCCUCCCCUACGGUCUUGGGAACGGCUUGGUGGAUUCUGGGGGCCGCGCAAUGCCGAUUGGAUGCUGGGGGUCGUGCAACGAGUGUUGCGCUCGGUGAGCCGGGAGUGCAAUGCACCUUCGCAUGGCCCUGGUGAGGACCUAGCUACUUCGCCAUUCUCUCUGGCUGCAUUGUCGGAUGCUGUGCAGCGAAAGUGCCGUGCUCGGCACACGAGGAGGUGCCCCACCUCCGCACAGCCUGACGAGGGUCUUUGCUACCUCCUUGACAGCUUUUGCAGUGUGGUGUGGUCAUUGGUGCUGCCUUUGUUCUUCAUUGGCAGCUGCAACCAAGGUUUGACAAGUAUCUAUGGUGUGGUCAUUGGUGCUGCCUUUGUUCUUUGUUGGCACCUGCAACCAAGGUUUGACAAGUAUCUGCUGCUUCUUCCUGCAUCGUCCCAUGCUCUUCGCUUGGCUUGUUCGUGACUACUAACCUCAUUGAUCUCCCCUCGGGCAUCCUUCCCCCAGAGUGCAUUGACGGUUCAUAUAUGGUGCGGCAUCUUGAGAAGUCAGUCUUGGCUUAUUGCAAGUGGUUGCCACCAAGCUCAGAUGUUGGGCACUAAUUGGCACUUUGGUUUUGUGGCAAUGGCUUUGUUCAGGUGGGGGGUUCAUCCCUCCCCGUUGCCCACCCCUGUUGUCACAAGCCGGGUUACCGUUAGUGCUUGGUGUCUAUUUGCAAAUUGGAUGUCUUCGUGUGCAAGAUUGUAUAGCUGUGGUAUCCCAACUCUCAGCUGUUUGGCUACAAUCGGUGUCAUUUCUCUAAUGUACUUUAGUAUUAGGUGUGUGUGCUACGAUUGUAAUCCUUUGUGGCUCUUUUUUUCUAUCACUAUGUAUCCUGAUCACCACCUCUUUGGGAUGGCUGCCUAAUCUUGUAUUAUCUUCUUUGAUGGAAUGAAAAUGUUUAGGUGGGCUUACUUAGCCCCACGAUUGAUUCCAAAAAAAUCAAGCAGCUUAAAAACAACCGGACACUUAAAUUUCCAGCUCAAAGUUUGCACUCCUCAACAACCAGAAACAAAGUUCUUUGAACUUAUAAAUACUUUAAGAAAGCAAAUAAGAAACUUUGCUUCUCUCACUAUUUUGGGCCUUGUAAAGGGCCUGUAGGCUAGGGCUAAAUGGUGGUACAUAUCCGGAUCUUAACUAUGUAACACCCCAAGCGCCACAAAAGCUCAAGAUGUCACUAAACACCCUUCUCAUAUGCUGGAGUAUAAAAACUCAGUAGCAUAACCUCGUAUACAUAGUAAAACGUGGAAGCAACAAGCUAAAUGAUAUAUAUAGAUAAACCACACACUACCAUUUAAUGAGAAACUUAAUAAGAUAACAAUGAACAAAGGUCAUCCACACUCAUUAUUAUGAAAGCACAAAUGGUCACCACAAGAUCUACUCUAUGUUCAUUAAAUCAACAAAUGUUUCAUUAUUAUUAUAAAAGGAAAGUGGGUAAAUAUGUGAAGACGUGCAGCUAAUCCCAUCCCUCCAAGCAAACAUCCACUCAAGUAUCUGGAAAGAUAAAAUGGGUGUGAGAAUAAAUCUUAGCAAGCAAACUGCUUUAACAUGUCAUUUAAAUCACAAUAUAUUAAAAGACAAUUUAAGAGUCAUAAUUAUAAAAGAAGCACCACAUAACUUCGAGUAGUAACAUAGAUGAGGGUCCCUUUGGUUAAGCCGUGAAUGUGCUUUUGCUUUCAAGAAAAGUCAAAAGCUAAACCAAAGAGGUGAGCUUCCAAACCCCUACUUCCACAAAAGCAACUUUUUUGUAGUUCAUUCUCCACAGCAGUUCAUUUUCCACAGCCAUCCUCGGGGUGCUUUUUCCGACUGUGAGGGCGGACAUUUCACAAAAAUUAUCCGCAAUGCCACCGCUUAUGGGCGUACCCCUUUGUUUUUCUUUCCCAUCGACGCCUCUGUCGCUCUCGCUCCCCACCUACGCCUCCUCUCAUUCCUGCCCGACGCCUGCUGCACUAGGGUUUUGCCGCGCCCUCCGGUGGCGGUCCGGCGUGCCCUCCGGUGGCGACGCCGCCCAUCUGCCUCCCCUCAAGCCGACGGCGGUGCUCCAUCCAUCGAAUCGAGCAUCCAUGAUCCUCGUCGUCCUCCCAGCAAGCCCAUGGCGGUGCCCCUCAUUCACCUCCCUUGAACACAGCGGCUACGACCUGAAGCCGGUGGCGGCGGUGCCCUGAAGCCGGCGGCGACGCUCCUCCUCAUCCUCCCUCGGAGCCCAUCGUCCACCUCCCAAUCUGCACGCCACCAAUCUCCCCUUCCAGAUCUGGUGCUAAGGUAACUUCGACUCCCCUUCUAGAUAUGAUAGCAAGCAUUUUAUCAUCCAUUUGUGGAAGUAACUUUUCUAUGUUAUUGUGCACAACAUAACACAAGGCUAAUAUACUGCUUACUGGUUCCACCUGCAUUUGUGUUUCCACUGAUCCAUUUAGAGGAACAAGUGUGGGUAUCUAAGUUGGAACUUUGAACGUAUGGUCUUGGUGCAACCAUCAACCAAGCAUACAAAUCUGCUCCGUUUUCUGGGGCUAGUAAUAAUGAGGAAAACAGUGGGGAUUAUAGAAUAGAAGUCUGAUAAUAACUUGUUUUUUUUGUGAGUCUAGUAAUGACUUGAUCACUAGCUGACAAGAAAAAUAACCAAUUGCUUCUAAAUGCUCCUCGCGAUGGAUUAUUUCCUGUAGUUUCCAAAAGCAUGAAUUGUGAAAAAGGUUGAAAUGCAUGUUUGAUGGGUUUUUUCCCACAUGGAUUAAAAAAAGCCAAAAUACAAUGGAUCGUAUGGUUUUUCACUUAAUUUGUCAAUACAGUUCAAUUGAUGCUCUUUAAAAGGUGUAGCACAAACUACCUUGCUAGAAAAGCCCCUUCACAUGACAGUACAUCUUUAGCCAUAAAGGUAGUCCAGUCAUAGCAGCCCCUGAUCUUUUUGUUCUGCUUUUCUGAAUUUAGUUUUCCUUUUUACUUUUUGGCAGUAGUCCAGUCAUAGCAGCCCCUCAUUUCUUCUAGCCCAAAUGCUACUCCAAGGGUUAACUAACUAGCAAGGGUGAAUUGCUAGAGGUCAUUACGGUUGAAAUAAUUUGGCUAGCGUGAAUAACCUGCUUGUGUUAGUUCUACUAUAUGCUGACACAUCACUAUUUUCAGAACUGUCGCAGCAGGCUGCCAUUAUUGGUGAAAUGGGAUACCAAUACACUGAGCGGUAUUUGCACAAAGGAAAGUAUAGGAAAACAUCAAAAAUUGGACUUCAAUGGGUUAUGAGAUGCAUGGGUUGUCCGAGGUACUUCUAUAAGAUGUUUCGAAUGAGCACUGAUAUUUUCAUGGCACUACAUGACUUGCUAAUCUCGAACUAUGGCUUAACAUCAACUAAUAAUGUAUCAUCAAUGGAGUCAUUGGCAAUAUUCUUGUGGAUCGUUGAAGGACCCGAAUCAUUUUCACAAGUUGAAAAUCGUUUUACCCGGUCACUUUAGACAGUUCAAAGGAGCUAUUGGAGCUAUUGACGGUUCACAUGUUCCAGUAGCAGUGCCAAUAGAGGAAGUGGUCAACUACACAUGUAGACAUGGCUAUACAUCUCAGAAUGUGCUAGCUGUUUGUGAUUUUGACAUGAGGUUUAUCUUUGCGGUUGCUGGUUGGCCAGGUUCUGCACAUGACACACGCAUCCUGAACCAUGCGUUAGCGAAUUUUCCUUCAUUUCCAGUGCCUCCUAAACGUAUGCAUGUUUCGUUACUGGUUGUCAAUAUUUCUAUUGUUAUUUGGCUUUGCUGAUUUGAUUUUAUAGGUAAAUAUUACCUCGUGGACUCUAGUUAUCCAAACCGAAUAGGAUAUCUUGUCCCUUUUAAAGGAAGCACAUACCAUAUACUAGAUUUUCGACUUUGUAAUGGACGUGCUCCUCAAGGGAAGUACGAGGUGUUCAAUUUCUUGCAUUCAUCUCUUCGCAAUGUCAUUGAGCGGGCUUUCGGGGUCUUGAAGCAGAAGUGGCGUAUUUUGAAGGGCAUUCCAAGUUUUCCUACUUGAACUCAGAAGCAUAUAAUUCUAGCUUGUAUGGCAUUGCAUAAUUUUAUUCAUGACACCAAUUUGGAAGACAAGUUGUUCGAUAGAUGUGCUGGUGAUGAGGAGUACCUGGUACAACAUAGUGUCGUGGUAGAAACACAAGAAGAUGACAAUCAAGAUGGAGAGAAUGAGGACACCAUGAAUACCAUUCGCAGUAGGAUAGCUGAUGCUUUGGUUAGUGCGAGACGAAGAUAGUUAUGUUGAAGAAGGACAUCAUUAUGUGAACCAUAUGUCUUUUGUAAUAUUCUAUAAUUUUAUUUAUGUGAACCAUAUGUUAAUGGUGAAUGAAAAUCUUUAAGAAAAUUAAUUUUUCCUUUCUAAAAUGGUAAUUUCCAUGCGAAUUAGUGAACAAAACAAUGUUUUACAAUAAAUUUUAAUAUGAGCAUUCUCCUAGUAGUUCAGGGGUAUUACAGACAUUUCUUACCAAACCUACAGCUUCACAGUCAUUCUAACCAAACGGCUUUCAGCUUUCUCACAGCUCACACCUCACAACAACUUUUCUCAUAGCUCACAGCCCACAGCAGCUUUUUUCACAGCCACAGCCCAACCAAAUAGACCCUAAAUACUUCACAACAAUACUUCAUAAUGAAUAUGCAAACGGUGCAAUGCAAUGCAUGACUUCACUUCUACCCACACAUCCCCAAGGAAGGAGGUUGUUGACGCUCGUUAUUGACACCUUUUUACCCCUAUUUAUCUUCAAUAAUGACAUGAGUUUAAUACCUAAACUAUUGAUUGUACCUAAUAAAUGGGUCAUUUUCACAUAUGUAAUAUAUUUUGGAGGAUAUUCUAUUUUCAUAAGAAAUUGGAAUUAAAUGAGCAUAAUUGGAUAAAGCCCUAAACAAGCAACGAACCAGAGGAAGACGAAGGCCAAUGGGCCCAGAAAGGGCCUAGGCCGAUCAUCCUAUAGAGGCCCAGACCAAUCGGCCUAGGGUCCUCUAGCCCCCUCUCGUGCUCGUUUUUUGGCAAGCAAUCCUCUAAGAUGACUUAAGAGCUAAGUCUACGAAGAUAUGGCAAGAUGAGUUUGGGAUCAAAGAGGAUCAAAUAGAGAUUUAGAAAGUUAUCAAAUAUCAAUCUCAUCCCGAAGCUAUCGACGUGUCAGGCCCACAUGCAAGUGAAAGAAGACUUCAGAACACCUGAGAAGACUUGACAUGAAGGGACGCGCGAGAGGGGAAAAGGAAGGCCUAGGCCGAUCGGCCUAAACCCAUCCGGCUGAUCAGCCUGUGGUGUUUCCUUGCCCCCUCACCUUCCAAUUUAAGCCACAGGUCCUCCGGACUAUAAGUACCCUGAUUCUCCAUCGAGCACCACAUCCAAGAUGACGUAUUCGACGUGAAGCAGCAGAGAAAAAGAAGGAGCUUGAGGGGUACCACUUCGGAGAGUCGAGGGCCAUGCAGCUGUCUAGGGAUUAGCAUAGCUAAGCUCUAGCUGAUGUGGGAACCCUGCGAGGAAGAUCCACAUCGGAGUUUUAGAGCUAGGAUCAUCAAGAUCAAGGUAGGAUCCUAGUGGUGAUCUUAUGGUGUACAAUCAUUCAUGAUGAAGUACUAGAUUUGUGCUUGUUCUUAGCAAUCUAAGUAUCUCCUUCUAUGGUGUUAUGCUUUUUCAGGUUUGCUUACUUUUUAAUCUAUGAUCGAUGAUAGUUUGCUUAGGAUGUUUAUGUGGUCGUGGUGACCGGAUUUGCAUGUCUAAUCUACCAAUAAGUAUAACAUGUUUUUGUGAUCAUGCCCUUAGGUUACCUAUACUGAUAGAGAGGAUCGUGAUAGGAUCUUUCUUGUGUAAGAUAGGGGUUUUCGGGAGCCAGACCGGAGGUGUAGAUAUAAAUAUGCUUUUACUAAGAUCAUAUUUGUGUUGCUUUGCUAUCCAUGCUCAGAAUUACAACAUAUGCAUAUUAUAGGUUGCUCUAGAUUGGUUACCUCUGCUCUAUCUGUUAUCUGUCUAUAUAUGCUAGAUUGGAUUUGAAUCACUCAUCAACAAAAGAUUCAUACUAACACUGCUAGUUGAAAUAAAUCUUGUAUUAUAAGUUCCACAGAUUGAUAAACCUUAGGGGAGUACUCUCAGGGAAGAGCUACAACUGAUACAUGCGCUUGCGGUUCACAAUUGGCGUGCUAACUGCCAUCAACAGUGAUGAGGGCUGGAACCACAUUGCUAUAUCUCAACAUGCAUUGCUGUACCGGUACAUAACGCACCAAUCCGACUACGGUUUCUUCAUAUGCAUUAAACAAUAUGAGAAUGCGAAUGCAAGAUUGCAAUACAUGAACUUCAUAUACUUCAAAAUUCAUAACUGAUGAAGACAUCCCAUGGGUUACACAAGACCACGAAUUGGGUACAUAAGCUCAUGUGUAUGAAGGACAAAUUACACACAGUCGUGCUAAGAAACUCCAAUAAGAGGUGCAUGUUUUCCUUGCUCAAAUUAACUUCAACAUACGUGAGAAUUUUAUACUACCUAAAUCCUUUACAUUGGUCGUGAUUAGGUAUGCACAUGAAGAGGGUACUGCACUACAUGGAGAUGCAAUGCAACAAUCAGAGCAAACCACAUGAAACAGACAAGAAAGGAACAUUUGGAUACGAGUGGAUCAACCUAAUGAAGCCAAACGUACAGAUUGUUCCCAUUUUGAUGUCCGGACCUGCAUAAUGAAUCAAUCAUAACUCUUGAUUUUUGAUAGCUAUGGAGGUGAAUGAGUACUUGAUGGAAUGGGCUUGAAAUCUACUUUCCAAUGCAAGAAACUGCAUAUCCAUUGGACUUCCCAAUAGGGAGUUAUGACAGAUUGAGUGAAUACUGCACAGAAGCUGAGAAGACGCGCGAGAUUCAAAGGUCACCUCAUGAAUGCUUCACCACUCGACUUUCCAUCUUCCAAUGUGGAGAUUUUAGUUCAUACCUAUCUAGAAGGGUUGUUCCUAGUAUAAAUAACCCAUCUAUACUACUAGAAAAAUAAGUUGAAUUUUGAUGAAUAGAUAACCACAUUUGGUUUUGCAUCUAAGCUGCUAAGUGCCUUGCACACCCUUGUUCGUCCCUGUUCUUCGAGGACUUGUGAAGAACAUCUCUCUGAGGUCCCCUAAUUUGUGCUCUACGGCUUCCAGUUAGGCUGCACCAUUUUACGUGGAUUAGUCCCGGAUUGUGGUUCUCUGGUAGUUCGGUGAUCGAGUCGAAGUCUUCAAGGUUUCGAUGCCUCUUACCCUAUCGCAUGGUCGCAUCCACCACGGAUCGUGGUUCUGUGCUUGUUUGGAGAUCAAGUCGGAGUUCUCUCCAGUGCCUCUCUCCCCGUCACUUGGUCGCAUCCAGCCUUUGUCAUGUAUAAAGCUACUUACCCACUGCUUGUAGCAAGUUAUCUUGUUACGAAACCUACUGCCGUGAAGAUCAGGCCAUCCCAAGGACCUUUCUUGUAAUGGUCCCUAUCAAUAACUUCAAGAGUAAAACCUCAAGUGGAACAAGAUACUUCAAUAUAAAGCCAUUUUCAUAUUUAUCUUGCUAGUAUGAGGUACUGAAAGUAAAUGGAGACAAUUCAAACAACAAAGUUAAAGCAAUGUAGACCUCAUCACUAGGUUUACUUGCCUUCACCGAAGACCAAGAACGUGAGCUAAGUAUGAUCCAAAGGUGCACCACCUGUUUACAAAUAUAACUCAGCACCAACACAGUUACACAAGCAUAAACAAACAUAAUUUAAAGUGUUUCUACAGCUGAACCUGACAUUGUCCCAAAACCACACGCAAAAUUAGACAUGACAGCAACGUUGUUGCUUCUCUUUUUUGUAUCUUUUAAUCCUGAUGGAUAAAAUUCCCAUAUUGUGCCAUCUCAAAGAUAACUUCAGAACUUACAAAUUUCUAGUGUUCCAUAAAUAGAGGAAAAAUCAUCAACAUAAGCUAAUCUUGAGAUGAACCUCAAACUGAAAAUCUGACAAUAACUGCAGAACAGUCUUAGUAAAAUAGGUAUAUCUGGAGCUCCAAAAUUCACAUGAAUAUGAACUUAACCAAUCUGGUAAGCUUAUAAAAUUUCCUACAACUAUUUAUUCAUCCAAAGAUCCAAUUAUGUCGUUUGGAUUGCCUAAACUUUAGGGGAACAGAUUCUGCCUAGAAUUAUGAGGCUAAAAAACUAACAGAAUCAAACUUUAAUAUCUCUCAGCUCUUAAAUCUGAUUGUGGUGUUCUUUACAUCUUUGAAAAUAUCUGCAAAUACUCUACAUCUCAUAUAUUGGUUUUAUAUUUUUUGGAAGCCACUAGGAGGACAUAAAACAGCCAUACUGAAAACUGCAGAGAUUGACUACGUGCUGAAAAUAGCGACGAGGGCAAAACUUUAUCCUAGCCCUUAACGGCGUUGAGUAACCACUACACGCACGUGCUAGAACAUCUGAAAACUUAGGGAAAAUAUGGAUUGUAGUGGGGGCAUGCCUCACCUAGGGUUUCCCUUGAAAACAGCAAAGGCAACGGCAACGGCGGCAAUCCCAACGAUGACUCCCGGUCGUUUCCCCCUCCCUAGCGACGAACGUCAUGGAAGCUCCGUCAAUUGCACCUAAAUUGCAUCCCACAUGGUGGCACCACCAUGAACAGCAAGGAAAGAAAAAUCAAUUGGGGGAAAACGGAGAAAGAAAAGGAAGCUCGACCAAUUUUGGAGACAAACGGUGACGAUGGACGGCGGCGUACCCUAAUUUCCCUUUCUUCUCUUUUCUCUUUGUUCUCCCUUUCUCCCUUCUCUGGAGCAUGGCAAAGGGUGGGUGGCGGCAAUGAGAGGAGGCACAGGGUAUAGGGUUUUGAAUAGGAGAGGUGUAUAUGGUGGAAGGGAAAAAAAAGAGAAGAAAAAGAAAAGAAGGGGAACAGAAAAGAACUCGGUCAUGGCAAUAGGGGGCUCGUCAUUGUAGCUCAUGAUUACUGUAGAUGUGCAGUUGCUGCAGCAUCCAAGGGUGAAAUGUUGCACCAUCUAUAAGUCCAUGACCGGAACUCCAAACAAUACAUAUAAGUGAUCAAACGGAAUGGAUUCGAAGUUCGUACAUCCGAGCGACAGAUCUAAAACUCAACUUCUGCCUACCAUCUUUACUAAUUACCACAUACAAAGUGUAUUUUAACCUUUACGCAUCCUGGGUGUUACAUUCUCCCCUCCUUAAAAGAAUUCAUCCCCGAAUUCACCAUCGCUAAGUCAUGACUGUGAACUAGAACUAAAUGUAAAUAAACAGUUAUUUACCAGACUCAAAGAGCUCUGGAUUUUUCUAGCGCAUGGGCUCCUCUAAGUCCUUUGUGGCUUCUCAUUUCAACUGAUUAGCUCAUCGGACCUUCACAUAAUUGAUAGUCCUAUUCUGCAUGAUAUGUUCGGAGAAAUCCAAUAUGCGUACUGUAUGACACUCCAUAGUCAAAUCCUGCUCAAUAGUCCUUAACAUGCGCAUCUGGGCUCAUGGACCACUACUGGGCCAUCCAAAUUUGGACCGGGUGUCACAUACCCACCCUCACCCCCCUCAAAGAACCCGACGUCCUCAUUUGUCCAACUUACCCAUACUUGGGCAAAUGUCCAGGAACGUUCCCUCUUAGCACACGACAGUACAUCCAGUGCCGGCACCAUAUGCCAUACCAUGUGUCCUAUCCGAGUCCACACGCGUCAUGCGUCGUAUGCCCACACACUAACCCGUACGCGCAACCGCGAGAGUCGGCUCUAAUACCACUUGUAACAACCCAGCUCAGGAAAAUGGCUCAUGUGAACUCUACACGCUGAGUGGACUAGACCUGCACUACAACCUGCUUACACUUAUGUCCUCGCUUCGCGUAAAAGGGUUAACCCAAGGUUGCAAUGCUUCCUAGAGAUAGCUAUUUAAGUUGGUUCCACUCACCCUCCACUUCCCAUCUAGAACUAUUUUUAGAGCUACAAUACCUCAUGCAUGGUACCAAUUGUUGGCCCAACUUGGCCCAUGGGCUGUUACAUCCAUCCACCCUUAAGGCCUCGACGUCCUCAUCGAGAGCUGAGCUAACUCACCUAGCCAUGUCCGUACGUCCAGUGCCGGCGCAUAUGCCAUAUCGUGCCCACAUAGGAACCACGCAUCAUGCGCACCAUGCCCGCGCAUCUGACCUACACGUGCCCGUGACACAACAAAAGUUGACUCUGAGACCACUUGUAACACCCCGUCCUCCAAAGCCGCACAACCUAGCCCUUCCGAGUGGUGGGCAUACAUACACAUAGCACCCUGCUUACACUUUCAUCCUCACUUCGUGUAAAGGGUUAACCCGAAGGUGCUAUGGCUGGUGGACAAAGACUUAUAAGUUGGCUCCACCCUUACUCAACUAAACAUGCGCACCUACGCUCAUGGGCCACUACUGGACCAUCCAAAUUUGGGCUGGUGUCACAAACUAUCCAUAUUAUCCGAUCAUCUGAUAUUCAAUGGGUAAUCCCUUCUUGUAUUUCAAUCCAACAUCGGAUAAAACUAUCCAAAUUCAUAUCCAAUAUCCAAAAUGUUUCUCUAACAUUCUUCAGUCUAUCCGACAAUCAACAAUUAUCCGUACCAUUUGCACCCAUGAUCCUUCCAUAUGCAGGCCAUCUUGCAUUGCUAGUUUUAUUGCUUGGAUUUCUAUCAAAUAAAUGGAUGCAUUACAAUGUCUUCUAUGAACAUGUACACAACGCACGCAACCAUAAUACAAGACUGGGUUGAGAACAUCCUAGCUCCACUGGCUGAUUUCAUAUAGCUAUCACGCAUGGGGAUUGGACAUCACUACAAUUGUGUAAGAUUCAUGAUGAAGCUCUGCCCGUAGAUAUCAAUAUGACGAUGAUUUAUUGCCCAUCUGGUCCAGGAGCUUUAGUAGGCUGCAUCUGAAGCAAAAGCAGUUCUAAUCUCCUCAUUGGUGUAAAUUUACAAAUUAAAGCUCCUCAUGCAUCUCAUCAAUACUAUCUGUCUAUCUAUAGAUCAACAUCUAUUCAGACCAACAUCUAUAACUAUAUAAUCUAAUCGCAAUAGACUUUGAGGAAAUUCCCAAACAUAUCAGAGAAAAAAAAGACAUUGGGCUGACUAUUAGAGAUCAUCACGUCAAGCUCGGCCAGUUUUUCCCCAGAUCUAGAACUACUCGCCAUCAUCACUCCUCAAGGGGCCAACGAUGGCAAGCAGCAACCAGAAAGGCAUCCACGGUGUGAAUAUCACCCAGACGACAUGUUGGCAGAUGAGCUCACCGCCAACAUACAAGGAGAAGAGACUGAAAGUCAAAGGACACGCCAGUGAGCUAGGAACGCAUUGCGAGUAGAUCGUCGACGUUGCCUUGCAAACGACCUACCCAUCAUGAACCUGGAUCAUGUGUUCGAAGCAGUUUCAACACAUCAACAUAACACUCCUCUCGCCACCGUCGCCUCCAUUGACCUUCUCACUCAGGCGAUGGCGCAAGACAAGUACACCAGGAAAAUGGCUCUACUGGCGGAGCACGCAUACAAACUACUCGAUCAGGAAAAAUCAAUCAGCUCGGUCCGAUGCACUUCCUCCCACCAUGGCAGCAGUAGCAGGCAUCCAAGUCUUCUUGAAGCCACCAGAAACAAGGUUCCCAAAAUUGAGCACCCCAAACCAAGCUAGCACAGAGCAAAAGGUAGUCGGAUGGGACCCUCGGGAGGUCAUGGCCACCAUGGGCCCCACCAAGAGCUUGAGCAACCUCGUGACCUUUGGGAGCAGCUCAAUCAGAAUCGUGACACUCGCUUAAUCAUCAAAGGGUGCCACCGCGUACGUGAUCAAGAAGUCAACUACUCAGAAGAAGACAUCGACGGGUUCCCCACCUUUUCAAGAUGAGUACGCAAGGCGGUACUACCCGACAAGUUUAAACUUCCGGGUAUCAACAAAUACAAUGGCAAGCAGGACCCAAUCCAAUAGCUGAGGUGCUACUUGCUAGUGGUCCAAGUGGCAGGAGGAAACAAUGACACCAAGGUCAUCUACUUCCCCAUCUGCAUGGAGGUAGGGCUAUUUACUUAGCUCGAGUCUCUAGAAAGUAACUCCAUCGACACGUGGGGUCAAUUGAAGGCGGCAUUCACAAACAAUUUCGUGGGGGCAAUGCAAUGUGCCGGCAAUAGGAUCAACUUGCCGCAAAUCAAACAGCAACAAGGCAAAACCCUGCGUUGUUACCUACAUCGUUUCUUCGACAAGAAGGCCACUGUCGUGGACAUCACGGAGAAGGAUGCCAUAUAGUGCUUCCAGAAUGGUCUCUAUGACCGCCGGAUGUUCCAAGACUUUGGCAGAAGACACCCAGAAGAUAUCAAGUCUCUCAAGACCAUGAUACAAGCCUGGGCAGAUAAAGAGGACAAAGAAAUCAAGCGGUUUGAGUCUAGUCGUAACAGAGGCCAAAACAACAACAACCAGAGCAACAGCCAAAGUAACGGCAAGAAUCGCAACGAUCACGCCAACAACAAUCGAGGCAACUACUCGGGUGGUCAAAACCGCAAUAGGAAGCCAGACAACACUAUCGCAGUGAUGUCCCAAUCCUCUUGUCCUGGAUCCAGUCAUUGCAGGUUCUCAACGUGCUCACAAAAGUACUCAUCGACGGUGGCAGUGGCCUCAACGUGCUCUUCACCAAAACUUUGAGAAAGAUGGGCCUCGAAGUAACAAAUAUGCUCAACCCAACGAACUCUCUGUUCUACGGGAUCAUCCCGGGUAACGCGGUUGUACCCCUUGGUCAGGUGGUUUUGCCAGUUACUUUCGGGACCAAGGAUCAUUACCGGACCGAGUACAUCCAGUUUGAGGUGGAUGAUUUCGAAACAUCGUAUCACGCUAUCCUCGGAAGACCAGCACUGGCCAAGUUCAUAGCCAUCCCGCAUUACGUGUACCUAGUACUCAAAAUGUUGGGACCCAAGGGAGCUCUCUCCAUGCGUGGAGACUUGAAGAGAUCCUACGACUGCGACAUAGAAGCGGUGGAGCUGGCAACGACAACUCAAGUGCCAAACUCCAUGAUGCAAGUCUUCACUGCCUCCAAGAAAUUGUCCCCAAUAGAACUCAAAAUUCCGAAGAAGUCGGGGCAACCAAAGUUAAGUCGGUAGGAGAAGUUGAUAUCAAAGCUAUCGACCUUGAGACUGGCAAUAGCUCCAAGACAGCCCUGAUUAGCUUAGGGCUGGAUCCCAAAUAGGAAUACGCGCUCGUCAGUUUCAUCUGGGCCAACCAAGACAUCUUUGCAUGGAAGACAUUUGAUAUGCUGGGGGUGCCUAGGGAAUUGAUCGAGCACUCAAUGAACGUGGAUCCUAAAGCCAUGCCCAAGCGACAAUGACUAUGUCAGUUCGCCCAAGACAGAAGAGAAGCCAUCAAAAAAGAGUUGGCCAAACUACUCGCUACUGGCUUUAUAAAAGAAGUUCUUCAUCCAGAGUGGUUGGCUAACCCCGUCUUGGUGUGUAAGAAGAACAACAAUGAAUGGAGGAUGUGUGUCAACUACACGAACCUCAACAAAAACUAUCCAAAGGAUCCCUUCGGGCUCCCUAGGAUUGAUCAAGUCAUCGACUCAAUGGCUGGGUGCGCUCUACUUUGCUUUCUUGAUUGCUACUCAGGUUAUCACUAGAUAGCUCUCAAGGAAAAAGAUCAGAUCAAGACUGCAUUCAUCACCCAUAUGGAGCUUUCUGUUACAUCACAAUGUCCUUCGGGUUGAAGAACGCAGGUGCCACAUAUCAACGAGCCAUCCAAGAGUGCUUCAAAGACCAACUACACCGCAACAUAGAAGCGUACGUGGAUGACAUGGUUGUAAAGACCAGAAAUCUCGAUGACUUCAUUGCAAAUCUAGAAGAAACCUUCACAAGCUUGCGAGCAUACCAAUGGAAACUGAACCCAACAAAGUGUGUGUUCGGUGUACCCUCUGGAAAACUACUCGGGUUCAUCAUCAGCCAUUGAGGAAUCGAGGCUAAUCCCAUGAAGAUUGCUGCCAUCACCAACUUGCACGCUCCAUCGUGCAUGAAGAAUGUCCAGAAGCUAACUGGAUGCAUAGGAGCCCUCAACAGAUUCAUCUCAAACUACUCAAGUGGCAAGACAAGUUCCAGUGGACCGAGGAGGCCGAACAAGCUCUUCAACAGCUGAAGGACUUCUUAUCAAAGCCAUCGGUCCUCACGACGCCUACUCCCAAUGAAGACUUGCUGCUCUACAUCAUCGCGACUACUAACGUCGUUAGCACGGCGAUCGUGGUUGAAAGACCAAAACCAGGCCAUGCAUAUAAAGUAUAGAAGCCCCCGAAAGCUCCCAAAGCUAGAUCCCUGCCCCUUCAACUACUUCUGUGUGGUCCAUCUAAGGUUGGGGCUUCACUCUGAAGAAUUUCCUAAACAGCUGGAACUAGGGCUGAAUGCCCAAGAAGGUCUCAUAGAGGUGCACAAAGAUGGCAACGUGUAAGAUAGAAUUGGGGUCGAGGUGGACAAGCUCCAGAUUGUAGUACCUCAAAAGCUCUCGGAAGAAGUUAGACGAUGGCAGAGCCAGCCCGCGCUCAAUGAAGUGCGUGAAGAUCACUGUCUCAUCUGGAUAGCUCUCAAAAAGCCAUGGAUUUCCAGCUGCUACCCUCCAAUCCGCGAACUCCUUCUCCUAGAGCAGAUUCACACCCACCAGUACCUGGAUGUCCGCCUCUUUCAAGGUGGAUGGCUUCCAGGCACUGCUUGAUUUGGCGGCGCCGUCUGGUUGGUCUUCCCGUACUUGGGCACCAGCAGUUGGAUCUCCUUCUUGGCAGCCUUGCACUUCUUGGACUCUACCGCCUUGCUCGAGGAUGCUUUCUUGGGUGCCAUUGCUCCGAUGGUAUUCUGGCGCAUGAGCUGGAGGGCUACACAGUGCAGGGGUGGUGGCGCACGGGAAUAGCAAGCGGCGGCACUAGGGCAUUAGUGCUCGGGGUCGCAAGCGGCGGCGCUAGGGCAAUAAUGAGAAGAUGAAUGGCUUGGGCGCACUAGCUCGGGUGAAACAGAAGGGAUAAGAUUCCACCGAUAUUUAUAACUGCGACACAAGUAACUGAGAGGCGAGAAUUACAGGGGAAUAUUCCAUUUUUUAAGCCAUCAGGUAUUGCUAGAACGGUUACCAAUUUUUUUUGGAAGAGAUACGAUUUUUGAAGGCGAACGGUCACAUUGGACCAGUGGUUGACACUUAUACCCAAACUAGUCGUGUAAUGACUCAAGGGCUGUGUGCCACGUGCCCGUCGAACAAAAAGUUUUUUCUCCGAUUUUUAAGGGGAAAAAGAUGUGAAAUUAGAAGAUUAACCCUCAGCCUAAUUCUUCGAUUCAACCUAAGGCUCGGGGGCUACUCCAUAUGGAGUGCGAUUUCGCACUUCCUUAUAAGGUUUAGGAUUGAAGAUCCAAGAUUCAAGACUAAGUUAAAUGAGGCUUGAGAACCUUCUAGCCGCAUGGCAGUACUCGAGCACAUUUGAAGACUCAAUCUGAUAAAGUACUCAAAAAGAGCACCACAAACUAGUCGGAGACGUCUAGAGAAGUACUCGGGGCUGCUGCAUUUGACUAAAAAGUACUCGGGGCCUUUUUGGUCAUACAUCUAUGGGUCCACCGGGAGGCUUGGACAGUCCUACAUACGGGGUUGUACACCAAGACAUGUCAGACAUAGAGACUACGGUGUAGGACGGUGUGGUCUACGUGGAGGAUAAGGACUAGUCGAGGAUUAGAAAACUACUCGUAGCAAUUAGAGUAGGAUUCUCUAGUUGAAUCCGACUAGUACUCUUGUACAACAACCGACCUAUAACCCUUCCCCCGGCAAUAUAAAGCGAGGCAAGGACCCCCUCCAAACAAUCAUCAAUUAAUACAAACCAACCAACAAACAGGACGUAGGGUAUUAUGCGACAUAAGCAGCCUGAACCUAUCUAAAUUGUGUGUUCGAGUUCACUUUCGAGUUCCUAGUCUUCGGUGAGCCCCACGCAUAAAAUACUACCUCGGGCACCCCCUUGGUAGGUUGCUAGGUCUAAACACCGACAGUAGAAUGCAAGUAAUGUCCACCAUCUCUCUUUUUCAGAUGUAGGCUAUCUCAUUAUUUCAUACGUUUCAGGUCCCGACGUGCUUCAAUUGUAUCCUUUGCCAUUCCAUAUGUACCUAGGAAGCCAAGCACAUUCACUCGCAAAGAUUUUUUAUCAGAUGCAUCACAUCGAUUGCAUUACGGAUCUCAUGGACUUCCCAAUAAGAUAGCUCCCAAAAUAUAGAAUUCUUCUUUCACAUGGGUACAUGUCCGUCCUUGUUGUUCAGAACAAGUUGGCUAUUAGAGCUAUUGCCAAAGACUACCCUCACAUCCUUUAUCAUAGAAAAUACACGUUUACCAUUACGGUGAACGGGCUUAGCACGUUUUUCUUCCUUCCCUUCAAAAUGCUUCCCUUUCUUUCUUAACAGUUGCUUAGCAGAAAGAAAUCGACGAUGGCCCGUAUACACAACCUUCCUACAAUGUUUCAAAUAUAUGCUGCAAGCAUCAUCUAAACAAUGCAUGCAGGCUCGAUAUCCCUUGUUUGUCUAUCCGGACAGAUUACCAAGCACCGGCCAAUCAUUGAUGGUUAUGAACAACAAUGCUCAUAGAUUAAAAGUCUCCUUUUUGUCCUCAUCCCACACACGUACACUUUCUUCCUUCCAUAAAAGUAAAGUUCAUCAACUAGUGGUCUUAGGUAAACAUCAAUGUCGUUGCCAAGUUGUUUUGGGCCUUGGAUAAUUACCAGCAUCAUAAUGAAUUUCCGCUUCAUGCACAUCUAGGGCGGAAGGUUGAACAUACAUAAAGGUCACAUGUGUGAUAUGACCACUACUAAACUCACAGAAUUGAUUGAAUCCAUCCGUACUUAAACCAAACCGUAUGUUCCUUACAUCCUUUUCAAACUCGGAAAAUUCUCUGUCAACUAUUCUCCACUUGGACCCUUCAGCAGGGUGUUUGAUCAUUUCAUCUUACUUACGUUCUUAUUUGUGCCAAUGCAUCAACUUUGCAUAUGUCUUAUUUCUGAACAAAUGCUUCAAACGUGGUACUACAGGGAAAUACCACAUUACCUUCGUAGGAACAUUUUUCUUGCUGGCCUGCCCCUUAAUAUCACCGGGAUCAUCUCGCCUAAUCUUAUAACGUAGCACUUCGCACAUAGGACAAGCCUCCAAUUUCUCGUUUUCCUCACCGCGAUAGAGGAUACAAUCAUUAGGACAUGCAUGUAUCUUUUGUACCUCCAAACCCAGAGGGCAAACAACAUUUUUCACUUUGAACAUUGAGGACAACAAUUCGUUCCCCUUAGGAAGCAUGUUCUUUAUGAUUUUCAUUAACUCGUCAAAAUCCUUGUCAGAAACUUCAUUUUUUACCUUCCAUUGCAACAUUUCCAGUGCGGUACCCAACUUUUUGUACCCCUGUUUGCAAUCUGGGUACAACAAUUUCUUAUGAUUAUCUAACAUUCGCUCGAACUUCUUUAACUCCUUCACAUUCUCGCAGUCUUCUUUGCAUCUCGCAACACCUGACCUAGAUCAUCGGUAAGACCUUCUUCUGCAACCAUCUCUUCUUCAGCCUCGCCCAUUGCAGCAUCUGCAAAGGCACCUCCUUGAGUCCUAUCAGGAAUGUAGUUAUCAUCUUCUUCUUCAUCAUAAUCAUCUUCCAUCAUAACUCUUCUUUUGCCGUGAUUGGUCCAAACAAAAUAGUUAGGCAUGAAUCCCAAACCGUAUAUGUGAGCAUGAAUCGUCUUUCUGGAUGAGUAAUCUUUCUCAUCUUUGCAAAUUCGGCAUGGACAACAAAUGAAACCAGAUGACGGCUUGUUGGACAUUGCCAGAUCGAGAAAACCAUGCAAGUCAUUAAUGUACUCCAUAGAGCUUUUGUCCGCGCUGUACAUCCAUUGCCAAUCCAUUAGAAAGUACUACCGAACCAAAGAUUUAUCAUCAAUAGAAUUAUACAUGAAACAUAACAAACAUGAUACAAAUUUCAUUAAACUCAAAUGUUGCUGAAAGUUUAGAUAGAAAUAUAGAAAUUUAAAUUUCAAACCCAAACAACAUGAUACACUAAGACAAACUAAAAUGUUGCUGAAUGUUUCGAUAGAAAUAUACAAAUUUAAAGUUCAGACCCAAAUAACAUGAUACACUAUGACAAACUCAAAUGUUGCUAAAUAUUUAGAUAGAAAUACACAAAUUUAAAUUUUAAACACAAACAACAUGAUACACAACGACAAACCAUCUACGGAAUACUAUCUAGGAGGACUUUAAGCAUCCUUGGAUGGCGAAGACAAAGGUUUCACUAACCCAGCCUCAUCAUGUGGUUUAUUUGUGCCUCCUGCAAUGGUAGUACUCAGCGGACCUGAAACCCAUGAGACUGGCGGUGGAGCAUAACAACCAUCAAAAGGAGGUUCCUGACCCGCCGCAAUAGCAUCUUCAUGACAUCUUUCCAAAUAACGAAGCAUUGCUCUCUCCCACAUGCUCAUUUUCUUUGGGUUAUCAUGAGGGCCAACUGUGGUUUUCCCCUUGCUACGAGAGGAAUGACGAUUGCCCCCACCAUCACCACUACCUCCAGCAGCAGUAGCCAUCUCUAUGUAGCUCAUAUUUGCAAAUUUAAACUAUGAACAAAUUAUACUUUUUCCCUGCAAAUUAUUUAGCUCAAACUUAACAUAUAAAUGAAAAAUUUCUCCAUUGUAGCUUAUUCUAAAAAUGACUAAUUACAUACCUCUAUUUUAUCUUAUUAUCUUUAUGUACCACAAUUUAUCUCACUCAUAUUUGCCGAUGACUAAAAUAUGACCAAAUUAUAUUUUUCUGCAUAAUUUAUUUAACUCAUAUUUGUAAAGGACUAAACUAUGAAAUUAUUCCUCUAACCUCAUAUCAAUUUCUUUGACUAAUACGAAACAUAGCAUCCAAAAAAUUGUAGCUUAUUCUAAAAAUAACAAAUAUGAGCUCUAAAUAACACAUGCAUAUAAAUGAAAAUUUUCUCCAUUGUACCUUAUUCUAAAAAUCACAAAUUGCUCUAGCUCUAAAGCAUAAACUUAGUAUACUAACCAUGUAUCAAGGGAGGAUGAAGUUUCUAACCUUUAGAAUACUUGAACGAGCGAAAUCCCUGUAAAAUGGUCAAAAAUCCGGCAGCACCUCCCCUAUUUCGCCAUGAAUGGAUGAAGCCCGAGCUGGAGGAAAUAGCUCGGGCAAAAGGAAGAAGACGCCUGAUUUAUAUAUAGGAGGGAAGUUAGUACCGGUUGGAGCCCCCAAUCGGUACUAAAGAGGGUCACGGGGGGCUCCGGGGGAAUUAGCCGUUAGACCCGGUAAUAAUGCUCACAUUAGUACCGGGUCAAAAACCAACCGGUGUUAAGCCUCGGGACGAAUGCUGAGUUUUCCAGUGUGGAUGCUUGUUAUCUUGGCAAUGCUGACAUUUAGCAUAUAUAACAAAAAAAAAUUUCAAACUUUCUGUUCACAUCUAGGAUUACUGAAUUUCAUGAUAUUUAGCUCAAAUUCAAAUCCCAACUUGAUGUCGCAAUACAACAAAGGAAGAUUCACUUUGUAAGGUAGGGUACAUAUCUAAGUUAGCAACUAUCACUUGGCAAUACCCCUAUGAGAAAUUCUGAAAUCCUUUGUACCCAAAAUGUAGAAUUUGAAAGGUAGGGUAUAUAUCUAAGUUAUCAACUAUCACUGUGCAAAUUUUUAAUUUCAAAUACACAACUUUUGUGAGGAGAUCUAGAAAAUAAAUAGAUGAAUCCCAUACACAACUUCUGCGAGGGUGAUUUUGAUGUAUUAGAACAGUUUAAAUGGAAUCGAUACCGUGUAUAUAUAGGGUGUGAACCCCCAACCCCAAGGUUCUGAAGAUGAUUUUGGUUCAUUCUUGUUGCCUUGCCAACAAACAGUGAGUUCAAAACUUCAAAUAAGCUAGGUUGCGUGAACUACUCCAUCCACAGCCUGUUGUUCUUGGAUCUUCCCCUCCCGUUGUCGUUGUUGUCCUGUCGAUUCAGACGAACUGACAAACCGGCAGCAGGUGACCGGUUCAAAGCGUUGGAACAGUCGACAACAUCCCCCGUGCGGCCGUGCCAAGUGUCGCGGCCGUCUUUUCGAUCAGCUCCAAGCUAGAACACGACCACCUGCACAAAGAACCAGCAAAGCAAUCGCUAGCCCGGCCCUGCGAGCUGCAGCCCAUGCUGCCGCCGUUUAUAAAACCCAGUGCGUGGUCUCGAUCGUGACAGGAACAACCCUAGCUUAAAGAUUGUUGAGCUAUUAACAAUGGUGUCCAGACCGCCCUGCCGUCCGCCGUCCUGAUCCUCCGGCGUGGCCUUCGCGCUGCUGCUGGCGGCCGGCGCCGUGGCGGGGCUCGGCUUCACCCACGGCCUGAAGCGCUACUUCGACGGGGUGGUGUUCGGCGGCACCGGCGGCUCGCCGGAGGUCGACAGGCUCCACCGCGACGUGGACAGGUUCUUCCACCUCGCCUACGCCUCCGCGGGGCUCAUGCUGGCGGCCGCCACGUGCACCGCGCUCAUAUCAUGCUCUCCGUCUACUCGCUCGUCAAGUGGCGAUGACGAUAGAUGAUGGUGCAUAGCUAUAGGAGGAUUAAUUCGUUUGGUGUUGUGAUUAGAAAUUGCCGUUAAUUUAACCGGAUCGAUCAGCUAUUAUGUCACGAGCAAUUUUGCAAUGCUUGACUUUAAUUUGUUGUAAUCACUUUCUUUAAACACACAUAAUAUUAGAAAGGAAAUAACCACUUUAGGUUAGUACGUACCGCGCAUGAACUAUUCAAUUUGUCUACUUGACCCAUCUAUCUUUACCUAUUAUUAAAGCAAGUAACGCCUCUGCCUGAAUUUUUGUACGUCGUGGUCAUUUUGCAAAAAAACCCCUGAUGUUUUGUGUAAUCAACCCGCAGUCCAUUAUUAUGAAUAGUCUGGGUGUCGGAUUGAAAAAGGAGGAAAGAGAGGGGGUUUAAAGGGAAAAAACUUCUCCUUUCUCCAAUCCAAAACAAGGAGGCGAAGGAGGGGGACGGGGCGCGGGCAGCGGCCGGAGCGGGGUGCCCCACCACGGCCGCGCCGCCCGCCCGUUGCCGAGGCGGCGCCACGCGCCUGCUUGGAGCUCCCCAUCCGCAGCCGCCCGGAUCUCCCCCGCUGAAGCUGCCACCCAGAGCUCGCCAACUGGAGCUUCCCAUCCGCGGCCGCCCGGAUCUCCCCCGCCGCAGCCGCCGCCUGGAGCUCCCCAUAAUACUGAUGCCCGUGCGUUGUCCACACGCGCGCACAAGCGAGAGGAACCGCAGCAGCUUGAAGUGUCGGGACCGGAGCAUGCUGUGGACGUCGGAGCUCGCCGCAUGGCUUGCGCUCGGAGUUACGCGGAGGGAAGCGAAGCCACCGCCACCGCAGCCACACGAGCGGGAGCGCAGCCAUGGUAGAUGCUACGCAUGGUGCUCGCCACCGCAGGUGCCGCGCGUAGUGGUCGCCGCCGCCACUCGAAUCGCACGCAGCUGAAGCCUCGGUCUUGUCGUGCUGUGGCAGAGUGUGCUGCUCGCCUCGGAGCUCGAGUAGCACCAUGUGGUUGUGAACGAACAAGACACCAAAAGAUAAGGACCGUCCUUUUUUUAAUUAGUUUGUGGGUCCCGUAGAAAAUCUAGACCCAAAUUAAAGAACCUAAACACGAAUACGGGGUAAGGUCCAGCGUGGACGAAGAGAAGAGAGAACCAGAGAUAAGGGUGCCUCGCAGUUUGGAUUAUGACGGUGCCGUUGCAUCAAAAAGAGAAAACGGCCAAGUCCUCUUCCUUUCUUUUUCUAUUGCACGUGGGUUCCGCUUUAAAUCCAAACCAUUUCCUAAGCACAGCCAAACCAUGGAUUCGGAUUGGAGUUUUAUUUCCCAAUCCAUAAUCUACUUCUCCGUAUCCCUAUCACAUCCCCCGUCCAAACGUCACCUUAGGAUUUCACAUGAGAUGCUGGAACCGAGUUGUGUUUUGCAUCACGAGUGUCCGAGUUGUGUUUUGCAUCGUGAGUGUCUCGACCGCCCAAUCCAGAUGGAUGGCUACGAGCCAGGUGCGAAGUUAAGCUGCCAUGUCGGGGGAGAUAUUGGGCCAAAAACGGUAAGGCAAACAAUUAAGACUCAAGAGGAGUUGAAGCAGUACGACGGGUCCGACCCUGAGAAGAAGCCACGGCUGAUGGCCAUCAAUGAAUAAUUAUUUCAAUAUAAGGAUAUAUGUUAACAUAAAUGCAAUAAAUAUAUAGUGAUACAAAUAGAAAAAAACAUGAGUUUUAAAAAUACGAUUAUCAUUUCACCGUAGGAACGCUCAGGCAUUUUGAUAUAUAUAAGUGAAAAUAUGUCAUACUAACAUGUUUUUUCCAUAAAGCAAGUAAGGUUUCUGCCCAGUUUUUUUUCAUACGUCAUGGUCAUUUUGCAAAAAAGUUCCUCAAUUUUUAUGGAAUCAACCUGCAGUCCAAAUUCUGAAGAGAGGGGGGCUCAGGUGGAAAAAGGAGGGAAGGGAGGGCGCUAAAGGGCAAAAAGCUUCUCCUUUCUUCAAAAUAGAGAGGCGAAGGAGGGGGAUUGGGCGCGGGUGGCAGCCGGAGCAGGGCACUCUGCCGCUGCCCCUGCAUGCAGCCUCGGCGGCAUUGCCGGCAUGUGGCACGUGAGGAUUUUCACCGCGGAGGCUUAAGUAGUGGUGGCAGUGCUGCGAGCUGCUAUUGCUGCUUGUAGCUGCUCCAGAAAUACAGAAAAGCAGUCCCUUCCCCAACGAUUCUUGUCCAAAUCCAAACAUAAACUUGCAAAUCGUCUUUAUACAAAGAUGUAUCUGGAUCAACGAGCUACAUGUGUUAGAUAGGGCUUUGGUUCCAUAGGAUCGAAAGAUAAAAGUCUCUGAACUUUGGGAAAAACACCGGUUACACUGAACCUUUAGAAUUUGCUCCUGUCAAUUAUCUCCAAAGCACCGAAAGGCUACCUUUUCUCGAGCACAGAUCAUCCAAAUCCAAUAACAAACUCUCCAAGCACCUUUAACCAAACUUGUAGAGGUACUAUAGGGCUGCAAGUUCUAGAUUGGAACUUUGCUCAAAAGAUCUUUGGUUUGGAAGAUUGAGAGCUCUGACUUUCGGUCAGGAACUGAACAUUCCAGUUUCAAAUAAGAAAAAGGUGAAUCAAAAAGACACAACCGAUAGAUACACAAAGAAUAUAGUGUAUUCAGAGGUCCUCACCAAAUAGGUACAACCGAUAUUUGUUAAGGCAUUCAAUAUUCUUGAUGAUGUCACUGUUGUUUGAUAUGUAGUAUUUGCUGAUAUCUUCCUAUACGUUUCAUAUUUGGGUGGUAAUUGUUGUUUCCUUCAUAAUGGUGAUGGAGUAAUGGUCUUUUUUGCCACUCAUUUUUGAUGAAUUGUCUACCGCAUAUUGUGAAGCGAAGCUAACAUAUUAUAAACAAAUGUAUAAUAACGUGAGAGCAAGUAAUGACCCGUAGCAACGCAUGGACAACCAGUAACUGAACAUUCCAGUUUUAGUUUCAGAAAUUUCCAAUGCACUUCUGACAAUCUAAAUAGCCCACCUUUCAAACUUUAAGCUUCAUUUAAAAUACUUGGACACUAUUUCUUGUGAACAACAGCUAGACACUAUAUCUCCUCGUAAACAAAUAAUUAACCAAACACGCAUAGCAAGAAAGCAUCAAACAAUAAAUAUUUUGGUUUAUUGUGUUUGAGAAAUGAAUAAUUAUUUUAGUAUAAGGAUAUAUGUUAACAGAAAUGCAAUAAAUAUAUAGUGAUAGAAAUAGGAAAAAAACCCACGAGUUUUAAAAAUAUGAUUAUCAUUUCACCGUAGCAACGCACGGGCAUUUUGCUAGUCACACUUAAAAAGGAGACCGAAUUCGUACCUCCAACACUAAUUUCCUCAAUGGAAAAAAAAAAGCAAUGCACAAUAUGUAGUGAGCAUGUAAAGAAGUGGAAGAAUGGAUCAACCCCUUCCAUUCAAAUAUUUCUUAUUCAGGUUGACAGUAUGAAAAUUCAUGCCCACAACAAAGCGAUGAAAAUAUAUACGUGUUUUGCAAACAAGACUUAAAUCUGCUAGGAGUAUAAAAGUUCUUUGUCAUGGGAUAUAUUUAUAAAAUUUAUGAAAAUGGAUGAGGGGAUCGGUAACUAAACAUUCAGACACCACAAAAGUUCAAGAUGCCACUAAACCUCCCUUCCCAUAUGUGCUGGAGUAUAAAAACUCGGGCAUAACCUCGUAACAGACUAAAACGUGGAAGAAAAAAAUAAUAUUUAAAGAUAAACCACACACUAGUAGUUAAUAAGCAGCUUAACCAAAGAAUAAUUAUAAAAACAUCAACCACUCAUUGCCAUGGAACCACAAAGGGGUUGCCAUGAUAGUCUAUUCUACGUCUGUUAUAGCAAGACAAAUGCAUCAUUAUUAUUAAAAAAAGAGAGUGUAGGUAAGGCAGUGAUGAGUGCAGCUAAUAACCUCUCUUCUAGCAAAGCAUCCACCACAGAGAAAUUGAAAAAAACCUAAUUUUCAUCGAAUAAUUUACCAAAAAUAAUAAUUGUUCUGUUGAGUUUGAUCCUUUCGUCCCCCCUUGGAAGGUGUGACUCAUCAGUGCAGUAGCGAGGCACAGCCUCUACCCCAUGCGCCAAGCCAUCACAAAAUGUUCCUGUUCAUACCGUUGGUUGCCUUUGUUCUUGUCAUGACACCAUCGAGACCUUGUUCGUGUUCUGCAUGUGCUGCAGCUUGCAGGUGCUGGCUGGCUAGCUAGCAAGCGAUUGCUGGUUGCCUGGCUGGGACUAAUGUGAGAUGAUAGUGUAGUUGUAGGUCGCCAUGACGCCAUGGGUGUGUCGGGUUCUUUAAUUUAACAUUAGUAAAAAAAGAACAACUUGAUCGAGGAGAACAUGUCCAUUGGAGCGUGCAUUCAAUAUUCGUAAGCUAGCUUGCCAAAUAGAUCAGCUUCCCCGCCAACAGAUUCUAGGACCAACAGCUUUUAUGAGCAGCAAGUGAGCAUUUCAGACCAACAACUUUUUAGAAAAGCUCCCGCUCUCCAAACAGGACCUUUUUUAGCACAUAGCGUGAAUAAAUGUUUGCAAAACACGUCCCAUACUAAAAGAUAUGUUGUAAGUUUGGAUGAUUCAACAAUAAAGACCUAUAAGUAAACUUUCUCAUAAAUAUUGACCUAUAAUUUUAUAUUUGGAACCAAAAGUAUAAAAUUAUUCAUGGUGCUUUGCAACAAACUCUAACCUGUUGGUAUGCUAAGGGCUAAGAAGUAAAGGCUGUAUUUGGCAAAAUAUGUGGAACAUGAUGGAAUUUAAUAACUACAUAAAAAUAAAAUUCCAAGGGAACAAUAUUUAGAUGUAAACUAUCGCAGACAUAGAUAAUGUGAACAUAUUUUUUAAACGAUUUUUCACAUGAGAAAUAUUUAAUCAAAUAUUUAAAAGGACAGAAGAAUUUUCACUGAAUUUUACUCUCAAAACUGGGAGAGAGUUUUUUUUAAAAAAAUAAAAGAUAAACUGAAUCUCCAAUUUCUUCUUCAAACGAAGGCUCUACUACGCCUCAAUCGUUUCUUCCCCCAAAUUCCAAAUCUACCAUCCCAAACCCUGAACCCACAAUCCGCGCCGCAAUGCUCCGCCGCCGUCGCGCCCCGCUCCUCCUCACCGCCGCCGCGGCGGGUGUCGCGCUGGCCGCCGCCUCCCCGACCGGCGACAACGGCCGAAGCGUUGCCUCCGCGCUCCAGCACGGCGUCGCCCGCUCCUCCCGCGCCGUCUACACGGUUCGCCCUCAGCGCUAGAUACGGCUCCUCCCCGUUGUUGUUCCUCCUGCGUUCCGAAGGCUACUCUUGCUCAGUUUCCCGGCGGUUGGUUGUCGCAGAUUGGGUUCGUGGUGGCGGAUUACAAGUACUCCCUGAGGGGGCUGGAUUCUGGGUCGGCGGAUUACCGGGUUAAGCUCUCUGAGGUAUGGAUUUGCCCCGGAUGCGAUGGGUGCGUGUAAGCUUGUUGACUACAAUAAUUUUGUUUUGUCAUCAUGUUAUGAUUGUUGUAUGAUUGAUCAGUUAUUUUGAAUGUGGUAGCUAGGUAGGGCUAGAGAUAUUAACUUCAUGGAUCUGGUUGCUGAAGUUGUCUAGUACCAGUGCAUACUUUUUGGAAACAGAAACAUAAUUUAUUUUGAUGUUACGUAAAGUUCACAUUUAGAUAACACCGUCACAUGGUAGCCUUUCUGCGCCUGUCUAAUGGGCCUGUGCAACAUUAGAGGAAUCAACUGGUUCUGGCCUCCUUUGCUAUUUGGAUCACAAACUCAAAAUCUUUCCUUAGUACUUAGUAGCAGACAACAUAAUACAGAUACUUGCUUGAUCUUGAUGUCAGUGACCCUCUAGGACCCAAUUUUAGUUAUUUAUGUGUUCCGCAUAUGCAAUUAAUGUAGCAUUUUAGAACACAAUAGUUCAUACUACUAUUUCCUGACCUCAUUAUUCCACAGAAACCAAGUUGUGCAAUGUGGAUGCUCUGAUACACUUGAAUAGAGACAUUAUGCAGAUUCACCACUCGUUUGAGUUAGCAAGCCAUAGCGUUCUUCUCUUUUACAAUGGCUGUACCCUUUGAUCUAAUAUCUAGUGUUUGUCAUGCAAUUAGUAAUCGCCAGAGUUCACGUAUGAUUAUAGAUCACAUGAAGCCUCAAAUGAUAUGUUUUUCUUUGCUUGAGCGUAGGUUCAUCUGCGUUCAGCGAAAAAGCUACUUAAACUAUGCGAAGUGAAUGGAGGGUUCUAUGUAAAAGCCGGUCAAUAUGUUUCAUCACUAAGACAAGUACCAAAGGAGUACUCCUCAACUCUCUCCAGCCUGCAAGAUCAGGUUCACUAUUAGCUGCUACCUCAAUGAUGGUGUAUACGCAUGUGACUUGGCUUUGUUAUUUACUGUAUUUUUGUCCAACAAUUCAGGCAACUCCAUCCAAGUUUCAUGAUAUAAAAAUGGUCAUAGAGCAGAAUUUUGGCAAGAAAUUGCAUGAAAUGUAAGUAUUUUAUUUCGUGAUUACCCUUUUUAGAUUGGUUGUUUAAUAUCAGUACCUGUAGUCAGAACAGAAUUUUCAUAGGUUGGCUGUUGUGCGUACCAUACUGUAGGUUCUGUAUUCGACUUUGAUCCUUUCAUGCAGCCUGUAUUGAGUGUUUUUGCCAGCUUGUUCCAUGUGUACCAUAUUACUGUUAAAAUUCACAGUAUACCUAAUAAGGGAAAGAUUUGGCUGUUUUUAUCAUUAGUUUGGAUUUUUUGAGUAGUAAAAUGAACCUUUGCGAUAUCCAUUCCAUUAACACCAUUUGAAGGCUUGAAACUGUGAAUGUACAAAGCAUUGCAUUUCAUUUGAUACUUUUAUGUGGUUUUCUGGGGUUUAAAGUGCUUAAUAAUUCAUAAUAGCUUAUGGUGUGGGAAAAAAAUCUUAAGCGUUAAUAUGUGAGUAUCAGAUUCCUGGAAUUUGACGAACAUCCGAUUGCUGCUGCAUCAAUUGCUCAGGUUCAUCGAGGUCGAUUGCAUGACAAUCAAGAUGUAGCUGUCAAGGUGAGAUUCUUGUUAAAUUUUCUCAGUUUCUGUUCCUUUUUUGUAAAGGUAUACUUUUGUGUCAAGGAAUAUAUCACCAUUCUGGUUGCUAGCAGUUAUAAAAGAGCUGACAACAGAAAUUUCACAAACAUGUUACCGACAUAUCCACCAUCCAAUUCUCUUGUUUUAUACUAUGACCUACCAAAUUAAUCUGGGCGGAUACAAUAUGGCUACCCUUGUUUUAGAAAGGUGGGCAUUUGUGUAAUAGCUUUUCACUUUUACCCUUAGAAUAGGUUUCAUUCUUUAGUUAUUGACCAAUUUUAUGAUGUGCAUUGUAAAAGUUUGGGUCAUGAUGUUUCAUAAAGACCAGAAGUAAACUAGAAAUCAGUAUCCCUUUAAAUGGGUAAUAAUCGUUACCUUUAGGCACAAUUUAACGGAGUAUUCCUCUAAAAAAUUUAAUGGAGUAAAACUUGUUUCAAAUUGAAGCAGCUGAGCGCCUGAAUACUUCAUCAGAAUGGCUGAGUCAAAAAUUCUUCAAAGACAUUUUAAGUAUAAAUGAAUAGCUAACUUGACCCAUAUGCUCAAUUCUCUCUUGUACGUAUGUUUGACCUAACAUUGAAUGAAGUAUAGAAUUGUUAGUAACAAGAUAUAACUGCAUAUCUUGUUCUUUUCAUAUUGAUAGUUUUAGUUUUGCUGUGAGCACAACAGCAUAACAUAGUUUGUUCGGAGUAUAGAAAAAACUUGCAGAAGAUAUUCUUUAACCUAUGCAUAGAUUCACUCUCAUUCUGCCAUAUAUACAUGCAAAUUUUCUUGAGUUAGUGUUAUAUGUAUUAACAUAGUACUGAGCUUUCGUACAAACCUUGGUGACAUCUAGGUCCAGUAUCCUGGAUUGGAGCAGCGAAUGAAGAUAGACAUCAUGACAAUGUCUUUCUUGUCAAAAUCAGUCUCUUGGGUAUGUUAAAUACAGCAAAUCUCUGUUUUCCUUUUAUCAUGCAAAUAUUUUACCAGCUGUUGCAUGUAAUUCAUCUUAUAUGCUAAAAUAAUUUUACACUUUGACUACAACGUACUUUAAGAAAAGCAGUAUUCAUUGACUGGUUGUUCGGGUAACAUCUUUUGUGCAUUUAAGAUUUAGAUAAAGGAAAACCCUAGUCCUACUACUUCUGUGUGGCAGCAUUAAUGAAAGAAGUUGAUGCAAUUCUAAGCAAGACUUUAUUUGUUCUUAAUGAAUAGAUGCUGGCAUUAUUUAAUGUUGUGGGUGGGUGCAUUAGCCUUUUAGAUGGCAGUUGCCACAUCCAAAUAGAUUGUGAUUCAGCGAACAGCCUUGGACCUGUCAUUUUGUCCUCCACUGUGGUCACUGUUCUAAUUUGAAUUUUCUAAAAACAUAUUUCUGUGGUUCUUAUAGUUAAUUGGAUUUUGUUGACACUUUGGCAUGCACCAUCACUGAGCUUUAAUCAGUCGGAUGAAUUGAUAGCACACAAUCCAAUCUGCACGGAGUAUCUUCGCACGAUAAAAUCAGUGCACCGCACACAAUCAAUGUACUCAUCUUCUACUGAUGCACAUAUAAUUGUUGGCAAAUACUUUAUCCUUGCGUAGCAGUUGCCAUGAUUGGACAGACUGGUAUUAGUAGCAAUUGGUCACGCGCAUGGUACUCCACUGUGGUGAUCUUUUUAUCUUUUUUUGGACUAACAUGUUUCAAUGAUCCUUAUGGCAAACUGAUUUCUGUUGAUUUAAAGUCUGAUGUGCCACGGUGCCUUACAAUCAAGACAUUGAUUGCAAUGUGUAGUUUGUUGCUAGUACCUCAUUAAAUGCAUUGACCAUAUAUCUCAUGAAUGGAAGUGGCCAUAAAUCUAUUUCCUUUGAGCAGCCAGGACCUACUGAGUACUGGUGGUACCCACUGUUCCAUCAUUGUAUCCUCUGCUGUGGUCAUAUUUAUUGUUGUAACUUUAGGAUAUGCUUUCAUGAUUCUAAACAUGCAUGAAAUUUUGUUGGUAACCUUUACGUGUAUCACUCUCUGUUCUAAUAUAAUUUAUUGUUUGUCACAAUCAAAAUUAUGUUUUUCAUGUCUGCAGAUUUUUCCUGAUUAUAAAUUUGACAGAAUACUAGUUGAAUUUGAGAAAUCCAUGUCAAUGGAGCUUGGUAAGUGCAUUCAUGUUCCUUUAUUGUAAACUGUAUAUAACUCUUAUUUAGAUAAAUGAUUUCUGAGAAAUCUUCUAUUUAGUAUAUCUAUUUGAUUAUUUUCUUUCAUAUAUUCUGGAGGCACUACCAAAAGACAUUUAUUUAUUUUCCUUGAACCAUGAUUUUGCAUAUGUCAGUGCUCAUUUCUGUUGCCUAGCUUUUAUAUAAUCCUUUCAGAAAAUAAAAGUAAAAUUCCUGUAAUUUUUGCACGAUGAGUUUCAAAGUUGAACUAUGUCCCUAUUUUUCAUGCACUUAUUUAUGCUCUUGGAUUGAGCUUUGUUGUUUUGUGGCAUUUCAUUUAGAUCAUUUGUUGAAAUUCUCAUUAUCUCUGUCUGAUCUUCUAACAUUCACUUAGUAUAUUAUUUUGUAUUGUUGAAGUCACUGUUCCUCGUUCAUUUACAGAUUUUACCCUAGAGGCUAAGAAUUCCGAGAGAACAGCCAACUGCUUCAGGAAAAAUAGUGUUGUUAAAGUGCCUUAUGUGUUCUGGGUACGAGCCUUAAAAAACUUAAUAAGUUUGCUGUGGUAUUUUUGGAAGAAUAAACAAUUUUUGUGUGCUAUGUUGCGUAAGGCAUACCUUAUCCCACCACACGCACAUCACAAACAGUCAAAAAGAACAUGAACCAGUACUAGACUGUCAGGGGUGUUAUGUAUGCUUACAUAUUUAAAAUUGACUAUUAUGUGAACUAUUUAGAUUUAUGUAAGGUAAUUUGUGACAAUAGUUAAUCCUGUUGCAGCAAUUGACAACCAGAGAGGUUUUGACGAUGGAAUUUUGUUAUGGACACAAGGUAAAUAAUUAAUCCUUAGGCUUUAUUUAUACAAAGAUUCUAUUUGCGCAUCUUUAUCUAUCAGUGGGUUUGCUGUGGAAUUUCGAUGAUUUCAUUAUGGAAUCUCUAGGUUUAUACAAACACUUUUCGAAAAAUGUGAAAACCACGCAUACUCUUUUACUUACUCUAAAAUAAUGGAAAAGAAAUUAGUCAAUUACUAAUAAGGAGAAGUACCAUUGACCCCUGGGGUUCUUAUGUUUUGACAGGUUAAUGACUUGGACUUCCUGAGGAGAGCAAAUAUUAGUCCAACAAAGGUUCGCAGCUGUAUUGUGACAUUAAUAUAUUUUCAAUCAUAAGUGACUUCAUUGAAGGCUUUCUUGUACAUAUACACAUUACAAAUGUGACAAAAAUGCUACAGAACUUGCUAGAUUCAGGUUUUCCAAAAGCUGCUCAGCCUUCAUUAAGUUUGUUAAGUUCACAUGACAGCUGGUUCAAAAAAAAAUAGACUUGAACUGCUGAAGGGAGGACGGGCAAAUACACUUCUACACUCUCCCACUAAGCUCUCUCAGGCCUUUGGCAUAGACUAGAAGUGGUCUGCAAUUGUUCCUUUUAUGAAAAUUGUGUUUAAUGUUAACUCAGAAUCUCUUCUCUAGUACCAUGUCAAGUUUCAUACUUUCAUGCAUCAAGUAACCCAAAAACUUAAGUUGUUGAGGAAAGGUGUAUCUGUGUGCAAAUAUAAGAAAUGAAAUAUAAUUUAUUACAUUAUCUAGUUGUUCUGUGUCCUCAUUGUCAUGUACUUCAGCCAGAAUUUGUACAGUAUUGAUAUCGGUACCAAUACGCUCCUUGUGAUUGUAAGUGAAAGCAAGAUUGGCUUGGGAUAAUAGAUUGAUUAUGGUGCAAAGCACAGGUACAGAUUAUAUAGGCAAGGAUGUCCUAGGGUUUAUAGUAACACCCAAUCAACGGAGAUCCUUGCCUAAUCUAAUGACCUAGGCAAUCAAGCCAUCCCAGGGAAGGGGUAGGCGCACGGCCAAAGGCCCGUGCGGCACCCUGCCCAACAGCCCAAAGGGCUGGCCUAAACACAUUGUCUAACAGUAAGUUGUAGUGCAUUUUGCUUUACCACUUAUUCACUUUGUGUGUUUAGAACCGGAUACGGAUUUUUCAUCAUUGAGUUAUUAUGGUACAAAAAAGUGUUUAUUUUGUAUUCAUGUACACGAACACACAUAACACUUGUUAAUCAAAUGCAUAUAGUCACCAAUCAGGGUUGUAUUUCCUGAAAGCAUGAUACCAUUUGGAGUUAUGAAUCAUGCACCAUAAUGGGUUCUUAUAUAUGGUCGUAUAUUUCUAUACCUUAAUGCUAAACUAUUUUCUCUUUGUACUUAGCAGAGUUUGGUUCACCUGCCUCUAUUGCAAGUUUCAUUUUCUCAUGCAUGUUGUAUUUACCUUCCAGGUAGCUAAGGCUUUGAUUGAACUGUUUGGUGAAAUGGUAUUUGUACAUGGUUUUGUCCAUGGUGAUCCACAUCCUGGAAAUAUAUUAGUUUGUCCUCAAGGCAAUGGAAAAUUUUCACUAGGUACUCAUUUCUUGAACAUAGUAUUUUUCUAGUUGUCCAUAAUCACAACGCAAGCAUAACUGUACAUCUUGCGAAGAGUAGUAACGUAAUAAUACAUUAAUUGUAGAAUCUCAGUACCAACUAUCACAUUCCAGCUCUUCAGGAAUGAACACAUGAAACUCACUUCAAAUUUUUGUUUUCACUGUGGAUUCCUUGUCCAUCUAACGUCUCCAGAAUGGCCAAAUCAACCAUGAUUCUGGAACAAACUGGUCGAUUCGUAAAUAUGAGAUAUCCAAAUAUUAAAUAUAUGUUUUCUUGAUUGGAUUGUCUCUGAUGGGUGAAUCUUUAUCACUUACACUUGAAUGUUAGUAAAAUGUUAUGAGUUGAUUUUUAACUCGAUUAUGCAAGCCAAAAUUUAAACUGGCAUGUGUGUUUUGCUCCCUUUGUUGUCCUUACAGUCUUGUUGGUACACAUGUAACUAGUUUCAGAAACCUCUAUAUUAACAGUAGACUACAACACAAAAACUGGACAUAAAUGCAUCUUAAUCGAACUCUGAUAAUUUUAUGUUCCAUCCUUUUUUCUUAUGUUUGUCUUCAUUCAUUGACAAUAGUGAUAAGUCUGAACCUGUAGAUGGUCAAAGCGACCCAUUUAAAUAAACCUCUUUGUGUUGACAAACUACAUAUUUCAACUGUAUAGAGUCUGGGGACUCUUCUUCAAUCCCUAGUGACCACAGAUGACAUCCUUUGCGAUGAGCCUUUGUUGUUCGUGGAUCAGGGCUCCUAUUUAGAUCUUGAUCAAAACCUUUCAAUUCUUUAUAUGAUGGAGGGCGAUGGGACAUUAAGGCUCCCAGAAAACAGCAAGCAUUUGUUCUUGUUGGAGCUUCUUGAUCUACACGGGAUGAGAUCUUUUUAAUGGGAUUGGAGGGAGCUAAUCAGACUCAAACAUUGUAUGGAAUGUGAGUUGGCCACUUUGAUCUUGUAGAAUGAUUACAUCUAAAAGUGGGUAUGGCUUUUGCAGUUCUGUUGGAUCAUGGAAUUUAUAGAGAACUGGAUCAAAAAUUCAGAUUGGACUAUUGUCAGCUGUGGAAAGCAUUGAUACUGUUGGAUACAAAAACAAUUCUGGAGUUAGGCGAGCAGUUCGGUGUUGGCAAAUAUGCAAAGUACUUUCCUGUAAUAUUCACAGGCAGAACCCUGGAAAGGUAAGAUUCCGUUCUUUCAGAUAUAUACCAUGAUGCACUAGUUAUCAUUGAGCAAUAAAUAUUAGAAAUGAUAUCAUCAGCAUUCAUAGAACAUCUUUCUUGGGACAGGAAAAAUAUUGAUAGGGCAUCAUGGGACGAGCUUAUGACUUAUCCCAAUUCCCAAGUUCAUGCACAUAUUAUUUUUAAUAAUCAAUUUCUUAAGCGGUGUUUAAAGUUUAAACUGAGCAGAGAGUUAAAUCCAAUAUGAAAAGUAACUAAAAGAUUGCAUGAAGGAAAACUUUAAAUUUCAUAUCGUUUAUAUACUUUAUUAAUCAUUGUACGUGAAUGAAUCCUCAAUUGUCUGUUCGUUUUACUUCAAGCAUUCAACUUGAAACUACACAGGUAGGAGAACUAUUUUGAACCAUAAAAUUUGCAUAAUUUUGAUGUGUGAAAUUAAUGUAUAUGGGGCAAUAUUACUUUGUGUAUCAUGGUGGGACCCAUCAGUUAACAUUUGAAUCACGUCAUAUAACCGUACUAUAUAGAGUACAAUCAGUAUGCCUUGUGUGCUUGGAGUUGAUGCCAUAAUAUACCUUGUUAAACUAUAUCUGUAUCUAUAAUGAUCAGCAAAUCAGCUCUUGGCACACAAAUGUCUAGUGAAGAGCAGAGGCGUUUAAAGGAGGACUUGAGCUCUCUGGGAAUGGAUGAUAUAUCUUCAUUUAUGGAAGCCUUGCCACGGGACUUUUAUGUCAUACUGCGAACAGAGUAUGAAACUUUUUUGUCAGAGCACAUCAGCAUGUUGUUGUUGUCACCUUCAUUCUUGCAGCUUAUAAAUGUUUUAUCUCGAUUUCAGUGGACUAUUGAGGUCCAUUUUGGGGAAUCUUGGGGCGCCACGCCAUGUUCGGCUUCUCACUUAUGCAAAAUGUGCUAUACAUGGGCUCGAGAAACAGCCCAAACUGGAGUCUGGUAUGUCGAAGUCAACUAAACUAAGAUUUACUCCUGUUAUCAUCAUCCUGUCCUAGCUAGCCUAAUGUCUUGGAGCUCUUCUAUUGCAUUCAGGUGCAAUUAACCGGAUGUUCUUGCAAGUCAAAACAAAUAUCAGCUAUCUCCAUCUGAGGGUACUUAUUGGUAAGGACACUAUCACCAUCCUGAUGUUUUGACUUCAAUGUCUAAUCCUGCUUGCUACCUAAACUUCCUCAGAAAUAGCGGGAUUGUUAGCAAAAGUAAAUGAUGCAAGGCACAAGGCCGUGAGCAAGCUCAGACAGAUGUUUCGGGAGAUCAGUCAAGGCCUUCAUCUCCUUACAUAAUGCCCUGAAGUGUGUCAAUGGUGGUGGAGGAAGUAUGCAGGAGUCAAAUCAUAACUGCAAUUGCGGAUUGGAUGUGUAUCUUGUAUGAUUAAAUCAUACGUCUGUUGUAACAUCGGGGCAGUGUUUUGCCAAUACUGUGGGCCCUGUACAUGUCAGCUCAGGCAGCAAGGAAUUGUAUUAUGAUUGAAUGCUGUCGUAAGAACCAAAAGGUUGCCACAGAAGUUGUACAUUAGGGCAAGAGCAAUGUUUAUAGACCAAGUAAUCUUUAUGGGUGGGACCCAUUGAAGUGGGCUUUAAGCUAUUCUGUAUCACCACAAUCCUGAGCCUGGAUGGAUUCUAACGUGAGGCCCACUAGCAAAUAAAAAAAUGCAUCCAGGGCUUCAAGCUCAACCAGCCGACGCCCCUCCUCUUCCGUUCCCCUCUCCGUGCUUCCUCCCUCCGCACCUUCGCCGUCGCCCAUUCCUCCCUACGCCGUCGUUGCUCCACCUUCUCUCCAACCCAGAUCGACCUUUCUCUGCCAGGAUUGAGCCCCAGGCACCACAAAUCGGCCUCAAAUCGGCCUCCCUCUGGUUCGAUCGAGCCUAACCUUGGAUCGAGCCCUAAGGGCUAUUUUGGGAACCCCAAUCUCAGCGGGGAUCCCGGCCUUUUCCUCGGGCUGGAAGUCCGCGCGGAAAUUGGUCACAGGCUGAAAUCCCCUGCUGUUUGGAAGCCCACGCCAUGGGGCUGCGGCAACCCAACCCUCGUGUUUUCCCCGGGCAGCAUUCCACUAUCUCGUCGUCGCGAGGCCAGCAGCUAGCGUCUAGGCGCCACCGCUCCACCUCCCCGUUCGGGCGCUUUCUCUCCGAUCCCCGUUUAGGCGCUGCUGCUCCACCUCCCCAUCCAGGUGCCACCACUCCAUCUCCCCGUCAAGGUGCCGCCGCUCCGUCUCCCCAUCACUACCUGCAACGACACCUCCACCUCUACCUCGGCCACUGUCACACCCGGUUUGAAAACAAAACCAAGUGUUACCUAUAUGUAUGUCAGGAUCUAGUUUCAUACAUAUAGUGACAUCAUUAGUGAAUAAAAGUAACAGUAUCACGUAAAGGAAUAUAAAUAAAGACUUACGAGUCUAUCAGAAAUAUACAGCUUGGAAACGAAGGCUCCAAACUUCAGAGGCAAUUGACUAGGGGCUGCGUACGCCUAGAACUUAGCAUCAUCUUUAGAAAACUUCACACACCUUCCUCUUCUAAGCAGCAGCAAGCAAGGAUGAGUACAAUUAUGGUUGGUACUCAGCAAGGCCACAAGAAAUAACCAUAAUAACGAUUUAAGUUCAUCUUCAAGUUUAUUAAUCAUGUGAGGGUCCAGACCGCUCUUGACCGUAAGCAUGGCUGAUAUAUCAGUUUUACACUCUGCAGAGGUUGUACACUUUCACCACAAGUCGCGUAAAAGUUCAGAAUAACUUUAGACCCAACCAUGUUGUGCUGAUCAGGCACUCAUCACACUACUGAGGUGUGACUGCAUAGGGACGCUACGAGGCCUUUAUAAAGAUUCGCUAGUAAGUGGUAACCCGCUAAGGUUUCAGGUCGAAGCAGAGCAUAAACCUCUCUCAAGGCCGCGAAGCUAUCAUAGAGCACAUCAGCCUGAGGGCCAUGUUAUACCACAUCAACGCCUCCCCUCUUACCCUUUCGGUAAGAUUACCCCAGACUAGAGUCUCUAAUUAAUUAGCUAAGACCAGAGCUAUGUAGUUCUUAUGGUUGCACUAUUUUCCUAGGUAGUCGCUCCAUGUUCCAAUUAACAUUAUCAUGGUAUUAUAAAUAAGCAUAGACAGAAGGGUAGUUAGGGACACUUACCUUUCUGCAAUGAAAAUUUACUCUUACUACUCUUCAACUCUUGCUCUCUUGAAACUCUUAAUAUUCAAAUCUUUCGAGCAACGAUCCUUCUACUCGAAGCAAUCAUCAGCACAAGCAUACAAAACAACAAACAAGUAAAACUAAGAACAAUACACCGGUCAAAGAAAAGUUUUAAAAGAGCAUACUAAAGCUUUAAAAGAGUGUAUGAAAGGAUAGGGCUCAAUUCUAGGUUCACGCAAACGCUGAGAAUGGAACUAUGGUCGACAAGGCAAAACUAUCAAGAGGUUUGAUUUAUAAAAGAAAUAAAAAAGACUGUAUGCUUGAUCCAUUUUAAUUAAAUAAAACAUGCACAUAUGUUAUUUCAUAGAAAUACCCUACAUGGAAUUAAGCAAGUUAUAUUUAAUCAUUGAAAACACGAUAAACUUAAUCAUAUUUUAUUUGUAAAUAUUCAGGUACAAGUUAUGCCAAUUUAACAAUUAACUUUAGAAACUCAGAGCAUGUAUAAGACAUCUAAUCGAAUAACUUUGUAUUUCGGGUUCAACUAAACAUGUUAAUGUGGAAAAGGCAUUUGUAAUAUUAUUAAGUAUAUUAACUUUAUUUAUGAAAACCGAUGUAUAACACUAGAUAUCUUUUAUUUAGAAAAGCUAGUUAUAAAUAAGAAUUAACUAAUUAAAUCUUAAUUUUUGAAAAUCGGGAUAGAACCUAAUCAAUUUUUAUUUAGAAAACUAAUUGUUUUUAUUUAGAAAACUAAUUGGAUAGUCAAGUUCACAUUUAACUUUGAUGUUAAAAACAAGCAACAGGUAAUACACACUGCUAACGAAUAAGGUGAAACGAGCUAGAACAGCAAAAACAGACUAUUCCAGAGCGUAGAAUAAAAGCGUAAACUAUGGUUUAGGAAAGACUAGCCUACAAAGAGAGCAACUAGGUUGCAGGGAUAACAAACUAAUCAAAGCUAAACUGAACUAGUCGGCAAAGAAACAACUAACAAGAUUGACUCUAAAGAGAUGGCUGCAAAAGGUUUGGCCAUAAAGAACAUAGCUGACUCACAAAGAGACAACUAGGAUAUAAGAUAGCUAUGAACUGGAUAUUGGAUUGUAAGAGAAACAGGGACAAGCAUGAUCAGACUACUAGGCAGAACACAAACUCUAAGAUAAACUAUUGAGCUCACUAAGCACAAAAAUCGUGCUUUGAAAAAGAAAGGCUUGGUUAGAUUUAUGAAAGAGACUGGAUCUGAGAUGAAACUGGAAUUGGAAAGAUCUAAAGCUUUACAGAAGACUAGAUCUUCAAAAGAGAUAUAGAGCUAAAGCUGACAAAGAACCGCUAUCGAACAAUGAGCACGAAAGACUAUAUGCUAGGUUUAUUUUAAUUAGAAAAAUAUAUGUAAAGGGUUGGAAUUAAUGCAAAUUAUACUUUAUUUACAAAGAUCGAUGUAAACCCUAUUUACUUAAAUUCUCAUUAAGAAAAGGCAUUCAAAUAGACAUUAAUCAAAUUAAUAUUAAAUUUAUUAAAAAUAUGCAUGAUAGAAAAUAUCACCACUAUCGUAUAAUUUAUAUUAUCAUGAACCUAACGCAACUUGAACGGAUUAAAACGGAUCUAAAACAUAAUUCUAUGAGCUAAACAAGAUUGGAAGGACCUAGAUGUGAUUAACUAUAGAUGACAGGGGCUAGAUUGAAAUAUUUUGCGAGACACAACUAACAGUGCUCACAAAUUGGUCAAAGCUCAGGGUUAGAUCUGCAAAAGUUCAUAGCUUGGGUUCGGUUGAAAAGAUCUAAUCUCUACAGGGGGUUAUUUGUAGAUUUGCCAAGACACAAAGAUCUUUGAACAAAUUACAGAGGUAUUCAGGGGCCAAAACGCAAAAGGGGGACCUUCUUCUUCCUCUCGUCGGGGCCUGACGGUGACCCUCGCCGGCGCUACGGGCAGCCGGGGUCCCCGGCGGGCGGCGCAGGAGGUGGAGGAGGUGCAGGGGAUCCUGGGGAGGUGCUCACCGGGGUUGAAGGCUCAUGGAGCCGGCCGGAAAUUGUAGGCGGGCGUUGACCGGCGGCGGCGGCUCGGGCUCCAAGCGGUGGGGCUCCUCCGGCGGCGAAGCAGGGAUGCCGAACAGCGUCGGGUGCACGUCCGGGCGUCGCGAAGCUCGUAGCGUCCUCCUCUUGCUCCGACGGGCGGCUGUCGUGACGAAUCAGCUGGCCGGCGCCGUUGCUCUGCUUCGGGCGGCGGCGCAUGGCGCGGCGCUAGAGGCGGCUAGGCGGUGAGGCGGCGGCGGGCGAGGACGGCAGGCGCAAGGGCUCGGGCGCUCGCCCUUUACAUGGCUGCGCGGAGCCCUAGGGUGGCGCGCACGCCGAGGAAGGGGCCGGCGGCGGCCAUGGCCGAGCUAGGCCCGGGGAGCGGCGGUGUCAGCCUAGAUGGGCCUAGGAGGGCCGGUCGCUGGGCCAGAGCGGGUCGAGUCCACGGGCUCGGCCCAAAAAAAAGAUAGGAUAAGAUUAUUUUCAGAAAUAGUUUCCUGUGUAAAUAAAAAUCCAGAAAAUCUAGAUAAUUUAUUUAAGCCACGAAAAAUACUCUGAAAAUUCUAAACAUUCCAGAAAAAUUCCUUGAGAUAGUUUGGGAUACGAGGAGUCCAAACAAAAUACUUAGAGCCCGUGAAAAGGAUUCUAGAGCCUUCCAAAAAUUGGAUUUAGCUCUUAGAAAAUGAGAAUAAAUUUCAAGAAAUUCUGGAAAAUUCUUAGAAGAACUUAAUUAUCGUCUGAACGCAUUGUUGAAACUUUUGCACUCAUGAAACAUCAGAAUGCAUUGGCAUAAAUGCACACACAAAGAACAACUUUAUUUAAUUCAGAAAAAUAACCAAUUAUUUUUCCUAUACUAAAUUCCCUGUAAAGAAAAUAAAUGUUAGAAAAAAUUCAAAAUUAUGAGAAAAUUAUUUUUUAAUCAUUUCUUUUUAAUCACAUCCUGAAAUUCAAAAAUUUCAAGGUGUGACAGCCGCGUUCUCCGCAUCAACCAUGGUGUCUCCACCUUAUCUUCCUCCUCGGCAUAUGUGUGUUCUCCUUCCUCAUCUCCUGUUGUCUAUGUUUUAUACUCAUGAUGUGAGUUCUUGUAGUUAACAUCUCGAUUCACCUAUCCAAGAUCCUGUCCUACAAGGUACCGAACCCACAUAGCAAGGGUCCCUGUGUAAGGAACAAAGAAGUGCUUGAGUUCCUGACACCUUGGUAUCUAUUUCGUGGUAGAUGCUUAUGUACUGGAGCAUGUAGUACUUCUAGCACACCUCUAGCUGCCUUAAUAGCAUAGAUGAUUCCCAUGUUCAUGUGUGAUGCAUAUAACUUGUGGAAACAGAAAACUGCAAUCCGUGAAAAUUUGCAUAGGUGAAUAAAGAAUAAAAAAGAGAAAGUAUUGGUUUAGUCAGGAAGGCUAGCAAGUAGAAUUUCCAACACCCAGCACUGUUUCAUGUUUUGAUAUGUUGCAUACCGGACUAAACAAAGAGAAAGGUCAAAAAUUGCUAGAUAUGCAGUUAUGUACUAGCAAAAAAAUAAAGAAGAAAAAACAUUAGAGAUUAUCCAGAUGUCAUAUCUCUGGAUGCAUAUUUAUGCUUUACCUAAGAAAUUUUUCCGUGCUUCAUUAUCAGUUCUUUGGUUCCUUUCGGAUGGGAUGCAAAUUGGCUAGUACCACCCCUGUUAGUUAGCGGUUAAUUACUAGUUUUAUGUAGUGCUGAACAUGGAACAAGAGGCUGGUAAAGUGCUUAUGAUAUAGUGAACCAUGAUUUGUUUGGUCGCGCAUCAUCAUUAUAUAUAGUGAAGAAAUAUCUCAUCCUCAAAUCCACCCUUUUGUAAUGUCAAUAUUUAUACAUGUGACAUUACGCCAUAGGCAUAUGAAAAUGUGUCUGAUUUAGUUUUCUCACCACGAGGAAGCAGCCUGAGUAGCUCUGUACUGCAGUUCUGAGUGCAUCUUUCUGCAGAAAUGUUGAAAUGCAGAAAUGCUAGUCACCUUUAAACUAGGACCAACACGUUGCAUUUCCCACUGCUGAUGCUGCCCUGUCUGAUCAUUACCUCAACAGAGUCAUAUAGCUUCUUGAUUGCCCCAUAACAAUAUUGUUAAAUACAAGGCAUAAGGACAGCCAUUUGUGUACCCUUUCUCAGUUAAUGCUAUUUUGAUAUUUCAUACAUAUGAGACAGCAAAUAUGAUUGGCCGCCCAUGUUAACAUCUACUAUGCCCUAUUACUUACCUCCUGAACCAGAGCUCUAUCUUCUAUGAAACCAGCCUGAUCUUGAAUAUUCAGUUACCAGUAGGAAUUGGUUAGUCAUCACAUUCCAUACAUUAGCUUGUCCAUAUUGCUUACUGUUGAUCUAACUGCAGAUCUCAAUGAUCCACUCUUGCAGAGGAUCCGGCUAACAAGCUUGUCAUAUGGAGUUGAUCAUGUGCCACAUAUUAGUUUGGUUUAACUCUAGCAUGAACUUCACUCUCCUGCCUUAUUCUAUAUCAAAUUCUUGUGGAUGUAAUGGAUGAGAGGACUUUAAUUUGAAUAUUUGUGCAAAUUUUAGGUAUUUAUCACAAAAUGUUGAUACAGAUAAUGUAAUUAUUUCUUAUGUUGUGGUUAACGGUGUGCAUUGUUGGUUUAAAAAUUCAGAACACAUGAUGAAAUUUGGUAGCUACCAAAGGAGUACUCGUGUACAUGUAAAUUUUAUUAUGUGUGUGCAACAGUAGUCAAACGGAGCAUGUAUGACCCGCUGGGUCUGCCCCUCGCCACCUCCCAUCUCCAAACAGCAACGGGUGGUGGGGGAAGCCUGGGGAAGCGCCACCUAGGGAAUCCAUUGGCCAGUGAAAUCCCCUCCGUGGCUUCCCUUCCACGGGCUAAUCUGCCACCAGCUCCCAAACUAAGCUCACGUGUCCCAAUCGGUCGGGUCUCGAUGGGCAUGCUCUUCCUCCCUCCCAUGGCGCCGCCGUCGAUUCCAUCCAGGUGGUAGAUAACGGGACCUGCCAGGGGGAGGACGAGUGGUGGCUGCGAUGAGAGAAGACCACGGGCAGGUUGCACGGUGCGCCGCCAUGGUAGCUCCUCAACCUUUCUUCUCCGACCGUCUCGUCGCCAACCAUGGCAGCUACUUCUAACUUUCGUGUCCUCCCGACGUGGCACCGCAUCACGUGGUGGAGCGUAUCUCUUCAUCGAGCUCCAGUUGGUGGUGGGAGCACGGAGCAGCAACAACAUCGUUGCGGGAGGGGGAGAGAGUGACGAGGAGAGAUAAUAUAUUAUUUUAUUCUUAUGGAUGGGCUAUAUGCUUAUGAGUACCCAUAAGCUACGGACCACUAUAAAGACCGCUCCCACAACAAUGAGCCGGACCAUGUAGGUCUAUAAAGACCACUUUUCCUUGACUGCCCUCGUUACAUCUAGGUGCUAUGGCAUGUGAUAAAUGUAUUGAAAAAUGCACAAAACGUGCUGAUAAUUUGGUAUGGUGAUGAUUAACGAAUUUUGAUUUGAUUCCGGAUCGUUGACUUGAAUGAUCCUACAAAAUUUUGGCCCGUCUCAAUAGCGAAAAACGCAAGAUUGAUUAGUUUGAUUGCUGUACAUUGCAUGAAACACUGAACCACAUUGAUUAAUUUGAUUACUGUACAUUGCAUGAAACACUGAACCACAAAUAACAAAGGCAUUAGCUGUAGCUUAAGCUGCUCUAGAUUGCCAGGCCUUAGCCAUCUUCUUCCCUAGGUAUUGAGCAGCAACAGCACCACCAGAGGCGAGCAGCCCAGAUACCGCUUGACGUACGCUUGAAACCAUGACGCGACGCCUCAGGGCCCUUCGCACACAGUUUGCUGCCAUUUCCUUUGAAG
rnacentral:lncRNA from 1 species